GGAAAUAAUAAUUAUUUUGGUGUUUGGGGAGUUAAUUAGAAUUUAUUAAAAUUAAUGGGGGUUUAGUGAAAAUGAAGGGAGUUAAGUAAGAGGGAAGUUAGGAAAAUAGAUGUCAGAAGCUUGUACGUGAAAAACUGUCAGUUGGGAGAAAAGGAGAGAAGAGCAAGUAGAGUCAGGAUAACCUUUUGCUGCACUUUUUUUCUGCAAUUUCUAAGGUAAUGGUGAGGUUUGCUCCAGUAGUAUAGCUAUUAAAUUCUGAUUUUGUGUUUAACAGAGUUUUGGUGAGAAUUGGGGAAUUUGGGUUUUUGUGAUUAAAUGAUGAUUUUGGGGUUGAGAUUGUGAUUCUGAUGUUAGAAAUAGGUUCUGAGUGCAUACAGUAAGUUAACUCUCAUCUGUAAACCAAUUUGGGGAGUGAAUUGAAGAAAAAUGGGAUUUUGGGGAAAAACCUGUUUUCUGCCCGUACAGAAGUUCAUCGCUCGCCUCGCGAGUGAGCAACUUCAUGGCUCGCCUCGCGAGCAGACCAACUCGCCAUGGCGAGCAAGCCAGUUCAAAACUUGAUUUUUCAAUUGUUGUUAUAAGAUGUUUUGGGGAUGGUUUAAUGUACCUAAAUGAUUUUAAUGAUGACUGGAGCAAGUUUUAGGUUAAAAAGAUGUAUAGGGAGCUUAGAAUUGAGGUUUGAGUGAGAAAAUGUCAAAAUUCCCGAGAGCACCUAUUUUUCACUCGCCUCGAGUUCGCCUUGAACUCGCCAUGGCGAGUACCUUGUUUUGUGAACUCGCCAUAGCGAGCAGAUGUGCUCGCGAGGCGAGCUACCCAGUUUUUGAGUGUUGAAUUUGCUUGCAUGAAUGGUCGUGAUUGAUGUUGUUGUUUUGAGCAUAGUUAUAUUUGAUUGUGCAUUAUUCUGGAUUGUUGAAUCUCUAAUUGAUGUUGUUGCUGAUGACUGUGAUGUAUGCUAAAAUUAUUGAAUCAUACAUGUUGAUUAAGUGGAGUCAUAUGGAGUAUGUAUGCAUGGUCAAGUUGUAUGUAGAUAUACACAAGUAGGUCCAUUGCAUAUGCAUAAACAGCGGAGAGGACUCAUGUCCUGGAGCACUAGUUGUUCAUAGCGGUGAGGGCUUCGGUCCUGAUGAAUGCUUUAACCAUUCAAAAGCGGUGAGGGCUUCGGUCCUGUCUGGUACCACAUGCAUAAUUGCAUAUUGAGGAGUCUUAGUGGUGUCGUCAUGUCAUGCAUGACUCUUUAUUGUUGGUUGUAGUUGUUAUAUUGAUGAUGAUGAUGAUGAUGUUGUUGAUGAGUAUACAUCAUACACAUAUUAUGAUGGAUUGAAUUGAUGGUGAUACAGUUGUUGCUUGUGAAUUAUGUAUUUAUAAUUGCAAGAUGAUUUGAUGUUUUAGGGUGUUAGAUUCAAUUGAUGAUUUUAAUAUCUAUAUUUUAUUGUUGUGAAUCUCACCCCUUCUGCUUGAAAAUGUUGCCCUUCCUAUGGGUAACUUGCAGGUGAUCCUGAGUAGUCGGUGGUGGCUCAAGAGUCGUGUCUAGGGCUCUGAUACGUGGGAUAAGAAUUAUUAUAUAUUUUUUUUCUUGUUGAUUUUCCUUCCUAUGUAUCAACUUUUGGAACUUGAUGGUGUGGCCCUUUGUUGGUUGUUUAGGCUUAAUGCCAAGAUAUUAUUAUGGAGAAUUUAACUGUUGUUGUUGUUAUUUGAAACGCAAACAUUCCGCUGCAUCAUUUUUGAAGUUAUGAAAGAUGUUGAAUUAAAUAGUUUUAUUUUCUAUUUAAGAAUUUUUGAAACGUAGUGUAGCAUGCCCGUAUGUGGAACUACUCUGAUGUUGAAUUAUUUGUUAUUUAAAUGAUUUUGGGUAACGGGGUGUUACAAACAACGAGGUAUCACAUAUAACAUAAUCCAAAAUAGUUAAAUAAUAAUUUAACCAAAUAUCUUAAACAUUGCAGCGGAAAUUAUAUCAUAAUCAUAAAACGUUUUGGCACGCAGGCCCCAUCAAAAUAAUCUCAAAAGAUUUAGUUCAAUAUCACAAAUAGCAUAUUAUUCACGUAAUAGAACAAAGCAUGCAUAACAUAUAGCCCCAUCCCGUUACGUAUCAGAGCGACCUAGACGACACAGUGAAGGCAAGGCCACUCACGACGGUAACUACACACUAAGCACGAUCCACCUGCAAGUUACCCAUACGAAGGGCAACAUUUUCAAGCAGAAGGGGUGAGAUUUCAUAACAAAAUAAUAUUAAUCAAUGUAAUUCGAAUCAUAAAUUAACAUUAACAUCUUAUUCUAUCUUAAACAACUUUGCAUAUUUGAUAAACAAUUAUCACGUAAUCAUAUAUUCAAUCAUCAUCAACAACAUAGCAUCUUAGACACGACAAUGCUCUUAGACUCCUUAUAUGCAUGUGGUACCAAUCGUCAUCAUAAGUAUUAAUAUACUUUAAACGUGCGGAGGACAAAGCUCCUAAUAAAUCAUGCGGAGGACAAAACUCCUGAUAAUCGUGGUGAGGACUAAGCUCAAUGAAUGCUAAUGCAUGGACUCUUAUCAACAAUUCACCGUAAUCAUCAUAUCAAUAUGCAUCCAAUAAUUUGGAGCUAAACGUCAUCUUAUUUAUCAUAUAUAGACAUUAUGCACUUAGUUAAAUAACAGCAGCAGCAUAGUCAAGUCACACAACAACAGGAUGAUAUCAUUAUAUCAAUUGCAAUUCAAUAUCAUCAUAAUAUUUCAUUCAUAUCUUACAUAAUGUAUAAUACAUUAAUUCAUGCUCAAUUAAUAUCAACAUAUCUUAAACGGCUUUACAGAUUGCAUUAAACGUCAUCAUUAGGUCUCAUUACCAUAAAGGGAUUCACUCUUGAUCAAAACGUGCGACACAGAUCGCACAAACACUCAAUGCACUCCAAUCUGGAAGUGCUCGCGAGGCGAGGGUUCCUACUCGCCAUGGCGAGUACCAGACAGAACAAAACUAAAGUUGUUAUGGGUUUAAUCUUGUCCUACAUUCAUCCCUAAUCAUUACUAGGUAUGUUCAGGCACUCAAAGGCACUUAAGGUCCAACUAAAAAGUCGAAGUUACAAAAUCUAACAUGCUCUCUGCCUUAGCUCGCUAUGGCGAGUAAGGUUGCUUGUUGUGGCGAGUGAUGAGUCAUUUAUUAUCUAUUUUAAUAUGUUAUUUAGUUUAGUUUUAUUUAGAUUUAAGUUUAUUUUAUAUUAAUAUUAUUUCCUUUCUUGAACUAUUUUACUACAAUUGCAUUUAAUUAUAUUUCAGGAACGAAUAUUGGAUGGAUUGAGUCUUGGAGCAAAAGAAAGGGAUUUGGAGCUGAUUCGGUACAAAAAUAUGAAGAUUCGGAGACAAAAAUAUGUCUCGUAGAAUAUACUUGGAAUAUUCUCCAGAACACCUUUUGCUGCUUUUGCUUGGACUCCAAGCUAUUCUAUUUUGGCGCACAAUCUACCGAGGAAUAUACUUGCUUAGAUUUUAAGUCAAUUGUGUACUAUAAAUAGAGUAGCUAGCCAUCACAAAUAAUCAUCUUUUCUUGGAAUGCAAUAUGUGACAAUUGUCUUUCUAAUAAAAGUUCAUUUUACUUUCUUUGCUAUUUACUUUUAUGUUUUCUCUCUUCUUCUCCUUGUCUACAAUGAACGUCAGUGAGUAGACUUCUCUUGUCUUGGGAUUGUUGGAUAAGUCUAAUGACAUAACCCUAAUCAAACCAAGCUUUAAACCUUAAUCUUAUGUAACCCUAAUUCCUUAUCUAAAUUCACCGCUUUAACAUGGAUCAACCAUUAUCAAACUGUGGAAACGAAAGUGGAGGGUUUGAUAAUUGUUUAUGAAGUAGAUAAAAUAGUCACAAGGAAGGGGGGGUUUGAAUUGUGACCCUUUAAAAAUUAUCCUGAAACUUAAAAAUGAUUCUCAAGUUGUUUACUUGGAAUUAUGUUAACUUUCUGACUUCAGAAUGUUCUGAAGUUCAUAAACAAAAUUGUUUAAUAAGGUAUAAGUGUAAGUGUGUGUUGUGUAUACUGUAAAUAAGAGAGUAUAGAGAAGAAGGAAAGAACACACAAAGAGUUAUAGUGGUUCACCCAAUGUGGGCUAGUCCACUCCCCACAAUCCUGUGAGAGUUUCCACUAAGAUGCUUGAGAUAACCUCUCAAGUCCUGCACCUUACAAUCUUGUUCACCUGAACAAUUACAAUCCUGUAUUCUCUAAGCCUCAGCAGGCUUGCACCUUCUUGCUAAGUUAACCACUUAGACUUUUACAACCUUUGCUCAACCUAACACUUUAGGACCUCUAAAAGCUAGAUGAGACUUUGUUACAAUUUGUAUGGAAGUUGGGUGUUUGUGAAGCAAACAGUGGAGGAAGAAGAAAAGGUUAUCUUACAGAUAACAAGAGUAUUGAUUUGCACUAAGUUUAUAAAAGACUUAGAGAUUGAUCAAUUUCAGUUUGCAAAAGCUUCAAACAAAAUCAGAGUUGUUUUCUUGUAUGCUUUGCAAUGGUGCAAGUUUUGCUAAUGCCUUGAUCUCUAUUUAUAGAGUCUUUGGGCUCAUAUAGCCGUUGUAGGAUGUCCAAUGGUGUUAUGCCAUGUGUCCUGGGUCCCACAAGCUUUAACUUGAAAUUCUGGGCAAACAUUCUGAUCUCUGAUGAACAUCAGAAUGUUGCUGUGUUCCCAGGAUGAACAUCAGAAUGUUGUUGUGUUCAUGAUGAUCUUCAUCUGGGUUCAUCAUGUUCUUCAUCUGGGUUCAUCAUGUAUGAAUGAACACAUGAAUUUCUGGGCGGGCAUAUGCUUUUCAUAUGAAUUUCUGGACAAUAACCAAUGCAUGAACUUUUCUUCAUACAUCAGAAUGUUCCUUUCCCAGAUUUGUCUUGGAACCGGUGCAGGAGGAUUUAGUGGGAUUCUGCAUCUUCAUGCCCAUGCUUUGAGAGAUUGUGUUGUCCUUGAUCAGUACCAACUCUCAGACGUGUCUAUCUCUUGUUGAAGAUGAUAGAUUUGCUUUGCUUUUGCUUUUUGCUUUUCACCUACUGUACUGUUCAUAAAGUAAGCAUGAGCUGAGCUGAACAUUCUGAUCAUCAGAAUGUUCCAUCUGUUUCACUUAGGAUGAUUUGUAAGACUACCAUUUGAUGUAAUCAAAUCCUAAUAGUGAAACAAUAAUGAAGAGCAGUGAUUUUAACACCUAGGAUGAUAUCCCCUUGUGGAAUAUUCCUAGUACAUCAAUGUUCAUAGUCUUAAAUGAACAUUGAAUGCCUUCUUUGACAUAAUCCUUGUAUAUGCCUUUAUUGCUUGAUUGAUUCAUGCAAAUGUACUUUCCAGGACAUAUACCCAUGUCACAUGUGCCUUGCAUGACCUUUGAUCAAAGUUCUUGAGACUCUUGGCUUGUUUAAGAACAACCUUCUGAUCUCAGCUUGAACAUUCUGAUCUUCGAGCAACAUUCUGAUCUAACAUUCUGACCUCAGUGUUAGAUCAUGAAUUCAAAUGUCCUUUGAUUUCUUGAUUCUUGGUAUGAUUUAAACCUUGUUCCUGUCUUAGUAAAACACUCAAUAGCACAAGUUAAAUACCAAGGAAUUAAUCAAAGUCCAUUAAUUCUUUAAUCAUAUUUGUUUAUUAUCUUUAAAAUUAAUUAGGGAUUUUGCCUCAACAGUUUAUCCAUCAUCUCAAAUAUCAAUUCAUAAAACGAAAGUGGAGCUUUGAUAUUCGAACAAGUGAAUUUAGACAAGGAUUGCAAAGUCAGCGAAAUAGGCUUUGCAAUCUUUGAGACAUAUAGUUUCGAUCUUCAAGGGAACUAAUAACAAUCAAGUCAGCGAAAUAGGCUUGGUUGUUAGAGGAACCAAAAUCUAAUAGUAAUCAAGUCAGCGAAAUAGGCUUGGUUGCUAGAGGAACAAAAGAGAAACUGUCUUGAGAAAUUAGGUCUAACAUAAAGUUAUAAGUUUAAUAGUUUGGUUUGAGAAGGACUUGUCAUUAGGAUGAACCAAUAACCCCAAGGCUUUUAUCUUUUAUUUUAUUAUUUACUUUCAAUUAAAAACCCAAAACUUUCUACCUUAUAAAACUUUAUUCUAAUCAUUAUCUAAAGUUAAUUGAAUUCAUAACUCCCUGUCGGAACGAUACUCUAUUUUACUACUUCGGUAAGACCGUGCACUUGCGGUUUUAUCUCAUCAGCGAGCUGCAUUGCACAACUCGCGAGGCGAGGAAAAAGGGGUCGCGAGGCGAGCGAUGAAGUUCAUCACUCGCGAGGCGAGGAUCAUAGCUCGCCGUGGCGAGCGAUGAAUGUCGCUACGGCCAGACUUCCUAUUUUCACAAAACUUCAACGAUUCACAUGGUUCUAAGCCUGAUAUUGAUUCCAAAGUUCGUCCUAAACAUUAUCUAAGUUCUAGAGGCACUUUCUACAUCAAUUUAUCCAAUUCCUACCGUUCGAUUAUCAAUUCUAGGGAUUUGACCUAGUUUUCGUUUUCUCCAAUUCAACCCUAAAGCUUGCUAACUAAUCAUCAGAAUUACAAUCAAUUAACAUUACUGAGUUAUUUGUCCCACCCUUACCUGGUUAUGAAGAAAUCGCAGCCCCCUCCUUUGAUCUUCUCCCUUCUAAGCUUUUUCUCCCUUUUCCAAAAGUUUUCACGUACAAUGAUUUUUCUUAACAAUUAGGUCUUCUCUAUUUAUAUCUCCUCUUAAUAACUUAUCUUAUCUCACUUUCUCCCCCAAAACUAUCUAAAAUCUCAAAACAACCCUUAACUAAAUAUUUUAUAUUAUUUUCAAAUCUUUAUUUUAUUUAACAAUAAAAUAAGUCCCUUAAUCUUAUCAAAUCUUCCAAAACUCAUAGCUUAUCACAAUAUCAACCAAACCAUCAAUAUAGUCGUAAAUCAUUCAAAUCAUACCAAAAUCAUGCAUAUAUUAUAUAAAUAUAAUAUAAUCGCCUAAACUCGAUUAAAUAAACAAUUAACGAAAGUGGGCGUUACAAUCUGGAGUUGGUUGUUGUGGUGUUUGUUUUAAAAAUCUGGAGGCAUUAUUUGUACGGUUCCAGAUUUGAGGUGUUCAGUGAUCAUAAAAGUUUGAAAUAUUUGUUUGAUCAGAAGGAAUUGAACAUGAGGCAGAGGAGAUGGUUAGAGUUACUGAAGGAUUAUGAUUUUGGCUUGAAUUACCAUCCUGGUAAGGCCGAUGUGGUUGCUGAUGCAUUGAGCAGGAAAACAUUACAUAUGUCUGCUUUGAUGGUGAAGGAAUUCGAAUUGUUAGAACAGUUUAGAGACUUGAGUCUGGUAUGUGAAUUGUCACCUCAGAGUAUACAGUUGGGAAUGUUGAGGAUUGAUAGUGAUUUCUUGAACAGUAUCAGAGAAGCUCAGCAGGUAUUUUUGAAGUUUGUUGAUUUGAUGACUUCAGGUAAUGACACUGAGAAUAGUGACUUUAAGGUUGAUGAUCAGGGUGUGCUGAGGUUCAGAGGAAGAGUUUGUAUUCCUGACAAUGAUGAUUUGAAGAAGUUGAUUCUUGAGGAGAGUCAUAAGAGUAGGUUGAGUAUUCACCUGGGGGCUACAAAGAUGUACCAUGAUCUGAAGAAACUGUUUUGGUGGUCCGGUUUGAAACGAGAUGUUGCUCAGUUUGUUUAUGCUUGUUUGACUUGUUAGAAGUCUAAAGUUGAGCAUCAGAAGCCUGCAGGGUUGUUCACACCGUUGGAUGUACCGGAGUGGAAGUGGGACAAUAUCUCUAUGGAUUUCGUGACGAGUUUACCGAACACUCCAAGAGGGCAUGACGCCAUUUGGGUUGUUGUCGACCGGUUGACGAAGUCGGCACACUUCAUUCCUAUUAAUAUCAGUUACCCGGUAGCACAGUUGGCAGAGAUUUAUGUUCAUAGUAUUGUGAAGCUGCACGGUGUACCGUCAAGUAUUGUGUCGGAUAGGGAUCCGAGGUUCAGUUCUAGGUUCUGGAAGAGUUUACAGGACGCUUUGGGUUCGAAGUUGAGGUUGAGUUCGGCUUAUCAUCCUCAAACAGAUGGUCAGUCGGAGAGGACGAUUCAAUCAUUGGAAGAUUUGUUUAGGGUGUGUGUGCUUGAACAAGGUGGAGCUUGGGAUAGUCACCUGCCAUUAAACCGAUAGAGUUACGUGGGAUGAUGUACAGGUUAGGGGCAACCUGACAAUUGAGACUAUGCCAUUGAUAAUUGAUGAUCGUAAGGUGAAGUCCUUGAGAGGUAAGGAGAUACCUCUUGUGAGAGUCGUCUGGGGUGGAACGACUGGUGAAAGUUUGACUUGGGAGCUGGAGAGUAAGAUGCGGGAGUCGUACCCGGAGUUGUUUGUUUGAGGUAAGAUUUCGAGGACGAAAUUCUGUAAUUUGGGGAGAGUUGUAACGCCCUAAUCGUUGUGUUAUUUAUUUUUGAUUUAUGUGGAGUCUAAUAUAUGAUUUUUGGUGAUUUAUGUGGUGUGUUUAUUUUAUUAUAUAGUUUAUUUUAAUACUCUCUCUGUCCCUAAAUAAGUGACAUAUUUGUAAAAAAUAUUUGUCACCACUAGGCUAACCCCAAAUGGGUAUAAAUUCUUCAAUAAUGAAUCAGGAGUGAAGUUUAAAUCACCAUUAUUUAUGCAAUGUGGUAGUGGUCAAUCAUAUAUGGUAAGUUGACAAACAUAACGUUACGUAAAAGAGAGAAAAAUUAAAAACUAUGUCCUGAGAGUAGUUAGCCAUUAAACAUGUAAAUUUAGAAUGAUGGUCAUUCUGUAAUUUUGAGUUAUCAUUAAAUAUUUAAGAACUUGAAAGCGUGUUAAUCAUAAAAUAUUGAUAAUCUACUUACUAUAUUAUAAAAUUAAAUUCCUAGGAUUUUACCAUUUUGUCCCUAGGAGGGGCAUUUUAGUAAUUUCCAAUUGAUGGGGGUGGUUAGUGCCACCUCAUCAUUUUUAGGGUGCAUUUCCCAUUUUGCCCUUCACCAUUUUUUUAUUUAUUUUAUAAUUUUCAUAUUUUUAAUAAAUUUUAUAAUUUUUAUAUUUUUAAUAACUUUUAACUAUUUUUCAAUUUUUUCCUUAAAAAAAAAAAAAACUAUUUUUCAAUUUUUAUUUUUUUUAACUAUUUUCUAAUUUUUUUUUCUCCCAAAUUCAGUUGCUUUUACAUUGCCGUUGUGGGAGAUUAAGAUACUGUUUGACCCGGGUUUUUUUUUUCUUUUCAACUUCUCUACAUUUUUAAGGAGAAGUUAGAUCAAAUACAAUAUCAAUUAAGUACUUACUAAAAAAUGUACUUUUUUUUAAUGCAUAAAAUAGAAUGGAAUGAGCUUUGGCCAAAAGUUGUUGAAUGCUACUUCCCGACAAUUUAUUUCACAAGCAUCUCUCUUCAAUUCACGUUGAGAACCUUUUCUUUUAUUUUCUAAUAUUAUAUUUCAAUAUGUUUUUUUCUUCCAUUUAAUUUUUUUAGCCGUUCCAUUUAAUUUUUUAAAGGAGGUUUCAUUUAAUUUUAUUACCUUUUUUUCAAAGAAAUUUUAUUAUCUUUUUAUCAUUUAUAUAUUUAAUUUAAAUAUCGUUUAAUCCUAACAACCUGACAAAUAUUUUUAUUCACGCUAUCAUUUAAUGAUACAAAUUUUUUUUAUUUUCUUUCUUCAACCUCGCAAAUAUACAGACGCACAUAUUAGCGUUUAGAGUAAUACUUUAUGUGUGUGUGUUUUUUUGUUACGCUAAUGCGUAUAAUUUUUAUAAAAUUUUGAUUUUAAUUAAAAGUACAAUUGUAGAUGUCUUUUCUUCAAAAAAGGUAUAAAUUUCUAAAAAAAUCAUGCAUAUAUAUAUAUAUAUAUAUUGCACCUUUAUAUCGUAACAGACUAUGCAUAUCUUUUUCUUAUUCAAAAAAACUAAACAUUGCAAAAUAGAAAAGGUAUUAUUUUCUAUUUUGUCAGCAUCAGAUGAUAGAAUUUUGUAUAAGUUUGAUAAUGACCCGAAAAAUGUCCUUCCUUAUGUAGUGGGAAUAUAGUUGAUGUAACACUAUGGGAAAAAUACUCCGUAGCUUUAUCAUUUACCAUCUAUUUACCUUGAGUUCUUUGCUUCCAUUUUGUAGUCAAUGUCAACCAAAAUAUAUGUAACAAUUGGUCAGGUUUGAGGCUCAUCAACCUAUAUCAUCCGGUUGUUAAGAAGUUUAAGACUUAGUAAGUUUGCAUUAUGAUUUCACAAUACAGUGUUAGAGUAACUUAUUAUUUCACAAUCCGAUUUGAUUGUUUUUUGACCAUGUUUUUUGAAUUGUUGUCGUGACCUUAACACUUCUCAAGCUCAGAGUCAAAGCUUCAGUUAGAACUUAAGUCAGAGUUCGACUUCUUCUCAACGUACUUCGUACAACGAUUUUUCCAAACUGUCUCAGGUUAGGCCAAUUGAUGAAUUUAUAAACUUAGUCAAUGUCUGCUUUUUUUUAUGCACAAACAUGCUUUGAGUUUUUUUACGCACAAAUUAAAAAUACAUAUUGCAUUAUUUUUUAUUUCAUGUGCAUAUUUUGUGUUAGGAAACAUAUUGCGUCACUAUUUGGAAAACAACUAAAUUCAAUCCUAACCAGUUUGGAUUGUAUUAUGAGAGUUGCUCCUAGGAGGGGCAUUUUAGUAAUUUUCUAUUGAUGGGGUGUGGUUAGAGGUGUCAAAUGGGCCGGCCCAGCCGGGCCCGAGAGGCCCGACCCGUUUAUGAUUGGUCCGUGAAUUCUAGAGACUGGCCUGGCCCGGGUGGGCCAUGGGCCAGCCCAGCCUGACCUGUUUAUGUUUUAUUUUUAAAAUUUAUUCACUUUUUUUUUUAUGUAUUUUCUUAUGUAUUAGUUACUCACCAUUAUUUUUUUGCUAAAAUAUGAUUGGAUGGACUUAAAAAUAUAAAUAGUUUUUAUAUUAAUAUUGAAUAAUAAUUAAACUCUACAUUAUUCUUUCAAUUAAAUCAAAUUAAUAAUUUAUAAACUUUAAAAUUUUAAAAGUGUAAGCUAAAUUCAUUCAUAUUUAUUAAAUUUAUUUAUUUAAAUAUUUUUUUGUUAAUAAAUUUUAAAUUAGUUGAUAAUGUUUUAAAAAAAUAAAAUGAAAUAUGGGCUAAUAGGCCGGCCCAAAGCUCGGUGGGCCAGCCCGGGCCAACUUUUGUAUGGCCCAAAUGAACUUGGGCCGAAAAACCCCGAGUGCAGUUUUUGGUUAGUUUUUUAGGUCCGGUCCGGCCCAAAAACAUGGCCCAAUGGGCUGGCCCAUUUUUGACAGCUCUAGGUGUGGUUAGUGUCACCUCAUCAUUUUUAGUUAGUCUAUGAAACUUGCAAUCUCUUUUAUAAACCUAACUAUUAUAUAACGUUAAUCUGCACAUUGUUGGUUCCUUCAUUGGUUCCAAUUAGUAUCAUGUUAAUUAUAAUGUUGUUUUCCUAAUCUCUUGAACAAAAUAAAACAUGCUAUUUUCCUACAGCAAAUCUUUAUAAUGCUUUUGUAAAUGUUUUAGAAAUGUACAUAUAUAUAACUUCUAAUUAACACUGCAAUUUGUUUUGUACCUAGCACUUUUCAAAUGAGAUAUAUCAAUGACAUUUCUAAAAGGAACACGGAAAACAAUCACACUCAUCGACAAACAAGCUCAAAAAAGGUAUAAGUGUCGCUUGAUAACGGCAAAGAGAACCAGUUAUAAAAAAUACUUAGGCGGCCAAUGGUUCAAAUUUGCCGAGAACAGAUGUUAGAGGUAGGUGAUAAGUUAAUUUUUGAUCUAGAGAAGCCACCUAAAAAUAUGCACGUUCAAAUCGUUCUCAAAUAAAGAUUUGGUGUUCAUGAUCCGCACUUUCAACAGAUCACCUUAACUCUAAUCCUAGACUAGAUUAUAUUCACUCACCGAUGUUACUUCUUUGCUUGAUUUCAUUUGAUGUAAAUAUGGCUAUCAAUCCUUUUUUGGUAACUCUAUAACAACAACACUCUUUUUUAUAAUUUUGGAUAAUAUGUAAAUUCACACAUCAUUGGUUUCUUUAUUGGUUCUUGUUUUCAUCCUAAAUAUUAUGUCAAUUUUUAUUCUCAUAAACUGAUUAUAUGAUCUCUUAAUCAGCUCAUACAUAUUUUAUGAUGAAUCAUAAUGUUCCGUCGUUUUAAUUACUCUUCUUUCAAAGAUUUUUUUUUAUCGAAUACGUUAUUGAACCCGUGCGAAACACGGGUUUGUAACUAGUUGAGGAUGGAAAAUAGAACUUGAAAAUUUAAUGGAAACAGGUUAUCAAUCCAUGAUCUUCUUAAUUUAGUAUCUAUAUAUUACUAUUACUACUUACUAUUUAUUAAAAUUGAUGUCAUAUGAAUUUCCAAUUUUGCCCCCUAGGAGGGGCAAUUUGGUAAUUCUAAAAUUCCUUAUCUUUGGAGAGUGCCAACUCAUCCAAACUUUAUAUUUUAUAUUUAUUUUAUAAUAUUAAAAAUAAUCCUAAAUUCAGUUGCUUCUACAUUGCCGUUGUGGGAGAUUAACGUAUCGUUUGACCUGACUUUUUUUCAACUUCUCUACAUUUUUUUAGGAGAAGUUAGGUCUAUGAAGCCCGGAUACACCAAAGUGGAGAAGUACUCGUACUCGAUACGUAUCGGAUUCUGAUACUCCGCGGAUACUCUCGGAUACGUACCCACAGAGUAUCAUAAUUAAUUCUUUUAAUUUAAAAUAUAUAUUUUAUCGGAUACUUAUAAGAUAAUCGACAGAUAUACACGGAUACUUAUACAUUUUUUUAUUUUGAUCACAUGUAUUAUUUUUUUGUAAAUUGCGACUUUUAUGAUUAUAUAGUAUUGAAGAGUAAUCAAUGUUUUUCUAAGUAUUUUACAUGCAUAUAAAUUUUAGUAUAAAUAAUUUGUUGACGUAUCUUAACCGUAUCGUAUCCUAAUUUAAAAAAUUUCGCGUACCCGUAUCUAUACUACGUAUCUGUGCUUCAUAGGGUCAAACACAAUAUCAAUUAAGUACUUACUACAAAAAAAAUACUUUUUUUGAAUGCAUAAAAUUGAAGGGUAGCUUUGGCCAAAAGUUGUUGAAUGUUACUUUAUAAAAUUACUUCUUGACAAUUUAUUUUACAAACACCUCUUUUCAACUCACGUUGCGAACCUUUUCUUUUAAUUUUAAUAUUAUAUUUCAAUAUGUUUUUUCUUCCAUUUAACUUAAUUUUAUUUAAUAUUUUGAACCAACCCAUCUAAUUUUUUAAGGAGGUUCCAUUUAAUUUUAGGGUUAAUAGUGUUUUUAACCCCUGUAAUAUAUGUCAUUUCUGGUUUUCGCCCCUAUAAAAUUUUCGGUUUGAUUUGCACCCUCGUAAAAAUUUUAUUUUCCGGAAAACACCCCUAAUAGGCCAUUGGUCUGUUUUUUUGUUACGCUAAUGCAUAUAGUUUUAUUUUAGUGUUGAUUGGUUGAGUGCUACCUCACCGAUUUUUUUAACUAUUUUCCAAUUUUUUCUUCCAAUUUCAGUUGCUUCUGCACUGCUGUUGUGGGAGAUUAAGAUAUCGAUUAACCCGGGUUUUUUUUUCUUUCAACUUCUCUACAUUUUUAAGGAGAAGUUAAACCAAAUACAAUAUCAAUUAAGUACUUACUAAAAAAGACACUUUUUUUUAAUGCAUAAAAUUGAAUGGAAUGAGCUUUGGCCAAAAGUUGUUGAAUGUUAUUUCAAAAAACUACUUCUCGACAAUUUAUUUCACAAGCAUCUCUCUUCAAUUCACACUGGGAAGUUUUUCUUUUAGUUGUUGAUAUGUUUUUUUCUUCCAUUUAAUUUUUUUUUAACUGUUCCAUUUAAUUUUUUUUAAGGAGGUUCCACUUAAUUUUAUAACCUUUUUUUCAAAGGAUUUUUAUUAUCUUUUUAUCAUUUAUAUAUUUAAUUUCAAUAUUGUUUAAUCAUCACAACCUCACAAAUAUUUUUAUUCACGCUGUCAUUUAAUGAUACCAAAUAUUUUUAUUUUCUUUCUUCAACCUCGCUAAUAUAUACACACAUACGUCAGCGUUGAGAGUAAUGUUUUAUGUGUCUGUUUUUUUGUUACACUAAUGCGUAUAAUUUUUUUGGCGUUGCAUAAUGCGUAUGUUUUAUUUUCAACCUCACAAAUUAUUGUCCUUUUAUAGUAGAGAAAAAUGCUCUGGUGAUAGUUUGCACUAUACAUCACCAUCUUUAUUGAGUUUAUUCCAAUUCACCACCGCCAUGUCUCAUCCAUCGUUCACAACCUCCAAACCAGCCAUAAUCAAUUGGAAGUGCCUUGUUGAUGACGAUUCCGUGAAGAUCGCCCCCCAAUAACCUAACACAACCCAGACCACAACUUUCAUUCGCGCAAGCUCUUACCAACUCCAACAUUUGCGACAUCUCCUCUAGCCAGCUCCCAAACCAACUCUUAAGGGAGACAAGUUCUCAAUCCUGAUUCCCGAUGAUGAAUAUGAGAAGGGUCUGGACUCAUGCAAGAAUAAUUUACACGCACACAUCUUUUAGCCGAAAGGGUCUUCACCUCUUACGUGUGUUGCCUUGAAGGAGAAGCUUAAACCUGUUUGGAAAAACCUUGGUCCAUGGGGGGUUUCCUCCAUUGGCAAAGGGUUCUAUGAAUUUGUAUUUUCCUCAAUUGAAGAUGCAAGAAGGGUUAGGUCAGUAGGAUCAUGGAUGUUGAACCCUGGUUUGCUAAAACUCUUCCCUUGGACAAGAUAUUUUAAUGCUAAUUUACAAACUAACACCUCCGCUCAGGUUUGGUUGAAGAUUUAUGGUUUGUCCCAAGAAUAUUGGAGAAAGAAAAUAUUGUUUGCCAUUGCAAGUAGUGUAGGAACCCCUAUUUGUGUUGAUGCGAUAACAAGCAAGCCAGCCAUGGAGAGGACUUUUGGUCACUUUGCAAGGGUCCUGGUUGAUACUGAUUUGACAAAGGAAUUGAAAUAUGAGGUUUUAGUGGAAAGGAAGGGUUACACGUUUUUCGUGGAAUUUGCUUACGAAAAUCUGCCUGACUUUUGUGAUUAUUGCAAAAUAUACACAUAUGUGUAAAAUUCUAUAAAAUUCAACUUUUUUUUUAUUUCAUAGAGAAACUUACAAUUUAUAGAGCACUUGUUGCAAGUAUCUCAAUGGACCCUAAUAAAUUAAAAUACACCUAAUAUUAUUCUAAAGAAAAGAAAUAAAUGACAUACUAACCUUACAAUUAUUCUAAAAAUAAAACACUAAAAUUAUUCUUUGAGAAUUAACGUGACUUAUUUGUUAUCUUCAUUUUCAAUUGAUAAAAACUGCUCCAAACAAAUUCCAAAACCGUUGCAAGCUGCCACCUUUAAGUGUAGUAAUUACUAUCAAGCUGCCACAUUUAAUUCUAAAACCGUUAUGAACCAGCCUCAUUUAUCUUCAUUGGAAUUGACCUGAAUGGUUGUGACAUUUAAAAAUCACGUUUUGUUUGGUCUUUGGUGAGCUAGUACCAGGAAUCAAAAUAAUUCUCUACUUUGGAAACAAUAAAAACCAACAAAUUGUCCCUUGAGCAGCUUGUGACUUAGUACUCCACUUGAUGUAUCAAAUUAUGCAAUGAUGAAUCAUAGAGAUUUAAGCCAUGAAUCUUCAAUUAGUUAAUACCAAAGCAGUGAGAAUAAUAUAGCUCAUAGAAGAAAUUAUUCAAUUAGAAAAUAUGAUGCUGACUUGGAAUUAAAUGAAUAAAAUAUUCAUUUUUCAUGCAUUUUUUUAUAGGUUUCCUUCCACAUGCUUAAUGAACUUUUGAUCUCAUCAUUCUCCCCCUCUUCAAAAGGAUUUGACCUCAAAUCUAAACCUGCAUAAAAUUGAAGUGAGUGAUGUAGAAUUUUUUUCCCUUGUGAAUUAGGGAAAUAAUCAUAUUUUCAAAGAACAUGAUUGUUUUCUACUAGUUGAGAAAAAACUUCUUCAUUUGCUUGGUUUCCUUCAUGAGUUAAAGAAGAAAGGUUAGGAGAUUGCAAAAUAUUAGAAGAACCCCAACAUUUAACUACACAUACCAACUUUGAUGAAGGUACUAGUGUAAUAGUAGGCCAAAACUUCCCAACAUUUUUCUCUUCAUUUACCUUCUCACUCACCUUUUUCUCUUCUUUUUCCUUCUUGAAGUCUUUCUCAUGACUUUCUUUUACAAUGAGAUCCUCUAUUUUUUCAACAUCUCUUUCACGCUUUUUAUAAUCAUUUUGAAUUUGAAGGAGCUCUUCCUCAAAUGUUUUAAAAAUAGCAGCAAUCCCUCUUUCAAUCUGAUGUGAUCCUAAUAUUCUCUCUCUGGAAAAGAAUAAUAAAGUCAUUGUGGAAUAAAAGAACCAAAUUAAUUUUGGGUUCAAAGUCUUAUUUUCGUAGGUCAUGAUAUGUCUGUCUUGUUUUGGCUAUAUCUGGAGCUCUGGAUGUCCGUUUGAGGUGAUCUUUAACUCGUUGGAAAGCUUACGAAAUUCUCUACAUUUCAUCUGUUUGAGUCAAGAGCAAAUUCAGAAUAUUUAAUGGUGCAGAAUGAGCUGUAAGUAGAAGACGUGGUUAAAGUAUGUUAGCUGAAGAAUUAAAGGUGGUGUUUGUGGAAAUGUAACGUCUAGCCAUAAUAAGCAUUCACAAAUCAAUGUGCAAAUGAAUAUGUAACCUUCUCAUGCAUUGAUCAGCCACCAACUUUAAAGAUCCAAUUAAAUUGUAACCUCUUUUGUAAUAACUAGCCACCUAGGAGUUAUAACACUAAUUAUGUUAUGAUUGUAAGCAUUUCAGCAUCCAAGCCUAUUUCCUAUAUAAAGGGGGCGAAAAUAAUGAAGGGACAAGUAGAAUUUUGAUAAAAAAAAUACACUUUGUGUGUUGUGAAACUUUGCUUCUUUUUGGUUCUGGAUUGAACCAUGCAUUGAUCUUAUCAAGAAACCACGUUUCUUGUGGCGAUCCUCUACCAAAUUAAACAUCUUCCUUGGAUUGGGAACUUGUUUGGUUAUCAUUUCUGUCUAUUUCCACCAUUCUUCACUUUUUAUUAUUGUAUUUUAUCCAACAUUCACAAAAAUACAAAACUAAAAUUUCAACCUAUUUUUGUCUCUCAUCAAGUGGUAUUCAGAGCACGGUUUUGUUUGGGAAAAAAAUUGUUUCCAUUUGGAAAUCCCUUUUCAUUGUUACCAUUUUUUUCUCUUCAUUUUAAUCUCUCUAUGAUUCUAGGAAAAAAAUGGAAAGAUAUUGUGACAAAAAAAUCAAAGUUCCAUUUUUUCGAGGGCAAAGAGACCCGGAUGCAUAUUUAGAGUGGGAAACAAAGAUUGAACAAUUUUUUCAAUGUAAAACUUACUCUAAUGUUCAAAAAGUGCAGGUUGCAGCUCUUGAAUUUAAAGAAUAUGCAUUGUUGUGGUGGGAUCAAACUAUCAAGGAAAGAAGGAGGUAUGGAGAUCCACCAAUUGAAACUUGGGAAGAAAUGAAAACAAUGAUGAGGAGGCGUUAUGCACCUUCUUAUCAUCUUAGAGAAAUUCAAAGAAAGAAGGUAGAAAAGAUGAAAGGAGAAAAAAUAUUGCAAAGAGAAAGGGAAAGUCAAAAAAGAAAGAAGGAAAUGAUGGCAAUAAUUGAUAGAGGCAUGGCUGAUAUCUCUAAAAUAUUAGAGGAAAAUCUCCUUGAAAAAGAGAGUCUCAUUGUAAAGGAAACUCACAAAGAAGAAUGUGAAAAGGAAAGAGAAGAGACAAAAGCAAGUGAUGAAAAGGAAGUAGAGGAGAAAGGAGAAGAAAAGGAGAAUGAGAUGGAAAAGGAAGAGAAAAAUGUUGACAAGUUUUGGCCUACUAUUACAUUAGUACCUUCUUCUAAAUUGGUUUGUGUUUUCUGUUGGAACAAAAUGUGUUUCACAAUGAACCUUAAUAAGUUUUGAUGAUAACAAGGUAUUAAAAAUUGUCAAUUGGUUAUUACUAAUAAUUGUUCAAGUGUAUAGGACCAAAGGCUAGUCAAGUAAUUUCAAUAGGUCUUGGAAGAACAAUGGAAAGAAAAAGAAAUUCUAAGCAUCUGAAGAAAACUGUGUCUGAAGCUAGAGUGCUUCUGAGCUGAAGUGCCUCUGAAGUGAUGACGUCAUCAGAAGCAGAAACUCAUCAGAAGCAGAAGGUCAUCAGAAGCAAGGUUUUCAUCAGAAGCGAAAUCAUCACCAGAAGCUACAAUUGAUUUGUAAAUUCAAACUGAAGAUCCAAAGUAGCUUGUUUCUCAUUUCAACCUCGUCUAAGAAGAACGAAGAAUUGAAAGGGAGGUAUCAACGGUCAUUUGGAUAGCACUGAGUAUUUGUCUUUCGUUAACAGAGUUGACAAAAUACAAGUGUGCAACCACUACCUCCACUACUUUGUUUUGUCCAANNNNNNNNNNNNNNNNNNNNNNNNNNNNNNNNNNNNNNNNNNNNNNNNNNNNNNNNNNNNNNNNNNNNNNNNNNNNNNNNNNNNNNNNNNNNNNNNNNNNCUUGUGUAUAUCUACACACAACCCAACCCUACUGCAUUUAUACGUAUAUGACUCACCACUCCAAUUUACAACUUUCAUGUAUAACUUAAUUAAAUAAAAGCAUACAUCCAGCCAGCAUCCAUUCAUCACAACCAAUUUAGGACAUCCAGAAAAAGACACCAAUAUAAUAGUCAUGCCUAAUCGCCAAGACAAUUCAACAAUCAACAACAGAAAUCAACCAACAAAAUACUGGGCAGCUCGCCUCGCGAGCUCAGGAAAUAAGGUACUCGCCAUGGCGAGUUCGAGGCGAACUCGAGGCGAACAAGAAAAAUGGUGCUCUCGGGAGUUUGACAUUUUUCUCACUAAAUCAUCAAUUCUAAGCUCCCUAUUCAUCUUUUUAAUAUAAAACUUGCUCCAGUCAUCAUUAAAAUCAUCUAGGUACAUAAAACUACCCAAAUUACGACUUGUAACAACAUUUCAAAAAUCCAGAUUUUCUCAAGGUUACUCGCCAUGGCGAGUUGUCUCACUCGCGAGGCGAGCCAUGAAGUUGCUCACUCGCCUUGGCGAGCAAGGCUACUCGCGAGGCGACGAAUGAACUUCUGUACGGGCAGAAUGCAAGUUUUCCCCGAAAAUCUCAUUUUCCUCCAAUUCACUCCCCAAAUCAGUUUACAGAUAUGCAAUGAAAAGUUAUGUGCACUCAUAACCCAUUUCUUAACAUCAAAAUCACAAUCCCUACUCUCAAAACCCAUUAAUUUAACAAAACCUAACUUCUCUCAAUUCUCACAUAAACCUGUUAAAAACAAAAUCAGAAUUAAGAACCUAUACAAUUGCGGUAAACUUCACGCUUACCUUCAAAAUGUUUUAUAAAGAAAACAUAGAGAAGCGUAAACAGCGGUACAAUUAGAAACAAAACAAUGACGAGAACCCAAUCUCCGCAAAUUCAGUUCAACCACCACCCACCCACCAUCAACAAGUGCAACCGUCGCCGCUCUCCAAUGCCAUCCUCCGCCGAACCGUUGAAGACCGUUCUGCGAGAGACCCAAUUCCAUUUCCUCAAUCACAACUAGUCGCUCCAAUGUUGUUUUCAAGUUUAAGGUUUAUUUCUUCUUUUAAUCCCACUUUCCUUUAUUCUUCGUUAUUAAAUCACUCAAAUUCACGUUCACCCUUACCGUUAUGAUUUUACUCUCACUUUAGAUCCAUUCCCAAUGGUUUUGUUGUUGAUAAUGCUGUUUUGUCGUUCAAUCGCAUGCGCCAAAUUCGUCAGACUCCAUCCAUUGUUGAAUUCAAUAAGAUCUUAACAUACCUUAUUAAGACUAAGAACCACUACCCCACUGUUCUUUCCCUUUCCACACAGAUGGAAUCCAAGGGAGUUAAGCCUGAUUUAUUUACUUUGAGCAUCUUGAUUAAUUGUUACUGCCACUUAGGUCAAAUGACUUUUGCCUUUUCUGUAUUUGCCAAGAUUCUUAAGAUGGGUUAUGAACCGAAUACCAUACCUUGACUACUCUUAUCAAAGGUUUGUGUCUUAAUGGUAAGGUCAAUGAAGCUCUUCUUUUUCACGACCACGUGCUUGCACUUGGAUUUCACUUGAAUCAUGUUACUUAUGGUAUCUUGAUCAAUGGAUUGUGUAAAAUGGGACAAACAAGAGCCGCCUUACAAGUGUUGAGACAAAUUGAAGGGAAAUUGGUCAACACCAAUGUGGUAAUGUAUAGCACAAUCAUUGAUGGUUUGUGUAAAGAUAAACUAGUAACUGAUGCCUAUGGUUUAUAUUCAGAAAUGAUUGUAAAGAGAAUUCCUCCCACUGUUGUCACUUUCAGUUCUCUAAUCUAUGGAUUUUGUAUUGUUGGUAAAUUCAAAGAUGCAUUUCGUUUGUUUAAUGAAAUGGUAAUGAAAAACAUCAACCCAGAUGCUUAUACUUUUAAUAUAUUGGUUGAUGCUCUUUGUAAGGAAGGAAAGAUCAAAGAAGCUAAAAAUGUGAUAGCUGUGAUGAUGAAAGAAGGUGUGGAACCUACUGUUGUUACAUAUAAUACAUUAAUGGAUGGGUAUUGCCUAGUUAAUGAAGUGGGUAAGGCCAAACAUGUGUUAAGUAUUAUAUCUCGAAUGAGAGUGGCACCUAAUUCUCGUAGCUAUAAUAUCAUGAUUAAUGGAUUCUGUAAGAUUAAAAUGGUCGACGAAGCCUUAUGUCUCUUUCAUGAAAUGUGUUGCAGAGGAAUUGCUCCUCAUAAGGUAACUUACAAUUCUCUCAUUGAUGGUUUGUGCAAAGCAGGGAGAAUCCCCUAUGCUUGGGAGCUUGUUGAUGAGAUGCAUAAUAAUUGUAUACCAGCCGACAUAGUCACUUACAAUUCUUUGAUAGAUGUUUUCUGCAAAAACCAACAUGUUGACAAGGCUAUUGCAUUAGUUAAGAAAAUUAAAGAACAUGGCAUUCAACCAAAUAUGUGCACAUACAAUAUACUUAUUGAUGGACUAUGCAAAGGAGGACAACUCAAGAAUGCACAAGAUGUUUUUCAGGAUCUUUUGAUUAAGGGUUAUAACGUAAAUGCUUGGACGUAUAAUAUUAUGAUCAAUGGACUUUGUAAAGAAGGCUUGUUUGAUGAAGCAGAGGUCUUGUUGUCAAAAAUGGAGGACAAUGGUAUCAUUCCUGAUGCUGUAACUUAUGAAACUAUCAUCCAGGCUCUCUUUCAUAAAGACGAGAACGAAAAGGCACAGAAACUUCUUCGUGAAAUGGUCAUUAAAGGUCUCCUAUAAUGGAAACACUAGGUAAGAUGAUCUCUCAUUAUAUAAUUGGUUAUUUUGAUGACAAAUAUGCAACUUCUGUGAUUUAUUUAUUUUGUCGACAACUAUACAAAUAAAGGUGGACCACUCAAUGUUCUAACUAUCACUUUCAUUUUAAUCAAAAGCCAUGAGUUGUUGUUAUGUUCAUUUCAAUAUUAGAGUGGCGUCAAUGGUUGAUUUUUUAUUUUUUUUUAUCUUCAUAUGGUUAUCCAUUUUCUUUGCAAGGUACUGUCGAUCAACUUCAUUUACUUUUAAGGAUAUUUUCAUUCAUUGCUCAUUUUUAGUGAGUCAAAUCACAAACAAAUCUGAGAAGGUAGGAGCUUUGAUAGUUGAUGUUUUAUAUGAUUUAUUGAGUGUUUAAUUGAAGUAAUAAGUUUAUACAAGUCUUGUAUCUUGGCAAAAUUGGUACUUCACCAGUCCUAUAAUUGUGAUUUGCAUUACAGUCCAUUAAAUUCUACAAAUUCUUCAAUUAAAUUUGUUUGUAAGUCAAGGAGUUUUAUUUGUUUGCUGAAUGCCGAUGACUGUCUCAAUAUCUAUAGUGUUUAUAAAAAUACUUUAUAUAUCAAUAUAACAAGUUUGAAUCUAUCUUUUGUCUUACAACAGUAAAACACUUUGAAUCUAUCUUGUACCUUUAUGAUAGAAUCCCUCAAUACAAGCUCUUAGCAACAGGCUCAAAUUUGGAUAUUGUUUUCUUUCAUUGUUUUGAAUUUUGACUUUGCUCCUAUUUUUGGUUUGAGACGUUUAUUGCACUAGCACCAAAGUGAUCUUUAUCUUCCAAAUCAUACUAAAAAAUCAAAAUUACUAUGAAUAUCCGUCUCAGGAUGGGAAUCUAGUUCAGGUCUAGUGCAUGGUCCUGAUAUAUCAUCUUAUUACAUAUUUGUUUGUUCUCAAACGGACUGCUCCUGUCAGAAAAAAUGGACUGCUGCAAGUUCUGUUGUCGGAGUAUAUUUUAGGCCUUAAUCAACAUGGAUAUUAAUAAAGCCUAACGAAUCGUUUCUGCAACCACAAAGGAAAGGUGUUGUUUUAUUCAUUCUGUGUCUCUUUCUUGUUAUGUUGUUAUUAGUGUGGAUUUGUUUCAGUCUGUUAAUUGUUAGCCUCACCCGUCAAUUGAUGAGUUUAACAUGGUUUGGAUUCAACUGUAACUGCUUUGUUGAUUUAUUGAUCUGUUUUUGUAAUGUUUGCUUAUUCUGAAUCUCCCAUAUUAUUGUUGGUGUAGGUGUUGUUGUGUAUGCUUUUGAAGCGAUAUGAAUGUUUUUACAUUUAGAAUCUGAGGCUAUAGAUUAGGAGAACUUUGGUAGGUAGGACAUUGAAUUUGGGUAUGAAUUUGAUUUCUCUAUUGUUUAGUGCUUUAGAAUGCUUUUCUUUCGGUGAGGAAACAAAGGAUAUUAUGAUAUCACUACUAUUUUGGGUCAAAUGUUGCUAGUGUCGUGUUUCAAUUGAGGCUUUGUAUUUAACUUUUUUUUUGAGAGCUUUGUAUUAACUUGUUUAUUACUUUUCCUUUGACGAUUAACCCUGUUUGUGAGAUGUUUGAGAGCAGGUUUUGUGACUCUAGGUAUUGCUUUUGGUCUUGGUGAUGAAUUUGGUUGCAAUUAUGGUGCCUAAUUUUGCUGAUUUUCUUUCACUUGUUGGAAGCAGUGUGUGUAUUGUGCUUGGAUUUGUGUUUUCUGCUUUGAUUCAUUAUAUGGUUUUCAAGGAGGGGUUGGGUUUGAGUGCAUCGUUUCAGAUGAGGCAAUUUUUGAAAUUCGAUCUAUGUUCUUUCUAACUACACUGCUUGUGUUCUCAUUUGUGAAACUAUGUUCUUAUUCUUAGAAAAAUCUUAAAAGUUAUCAACACCAAGAGCCUGUUUGAAACACUUCCCAAAAACUCUUUUUUAGUUUUUAAAAACUUGAAAAUUAAAAACUUGUUUGCUAAACUAUUAUUAAAAUUACAGUUUUGGAAACUGUUUUGAAUUUUUUAGUUUUGGGGACUAAAAAACUAAAACAUGUAAAAGGAUAACUAUUGUGAAAAGAGGACUUGUAUAUUUCAAAAACUGAAAACAAAAACGCUCUAUUUAGAUAAUAGAAAAACUGUUCUGUUCGUAUAGAAAACAAUUCGGUUCGUAAAGGUUAACAGUUUCGUUUUGCAAGGAUUGAUCAGUUCGGAUUCAAAGUACAGAACCCUAUUCAUUGAACCUUAAAACCGGUUAUUUUCGGACAUGUUAUGAACGGCUGGGUUUAGCUAAACUGAUUCUGAUUUCGGUUCUGUUCUGUUCUUUAAUUGAACCAUAAAGAGUCCUAAUUUGCAUGCUAUAAAAGUUCCUUGCGUUCCUUGCAACACUUUGAUGAAUUUCCAAUCUUGUUGCCAAUUAAUCAGAUGGCUCACAAUAAAUGUGACCGUAGAACAGAAGUGGCUGAGAUAUUGUUGAAAAUUGUUUAUGUUGUUCUUUUUGACUGAACUUGAGCUGAGAAGUACUCUGAUUUUGUUAGAUAUUGACUGAGUAGCAAUUAUGAGUUUUAGGUGUGAUGCCAGAUGUUGGUAUGUAUAGUUCCUUUUGUGGUAUAAAUAAAAGGCCACAAAAUUUGCCUACAACAUAUCUUAGUAAACAGGCCUAUAAAAGUUACCUUAUAGUUCAACCAUAAUGGGUCAACACAGUCACCUUCUUUCUCCCUGUUUCUUGUCAUCUGUAGCGACAUGGCAAUUAGGAACAGUAAGUGGGUGCAUUAAAACCACAACUUUUUAUAUAGAAUUAUGUUAUAUUUGUUUUCAAAUAGUUUCAUUAUGUUUCAUGAUUAUUACUUACACUAUGUAAUCUUAGAUAUAAAUCAAAUAGAGAAAACAAAUCAAGUUUCGCCCCGUUUGGAUUGGCUUAUAUGAGAUUAUCUACACUCAUAAGUCUUUUUAAAGGUGUUUGGGUAAAUAAAUAAAAAUAACUUAUCAUAGUUUCAUAAGCUGCUAAUGCCAUGUUUUAAUAAGCCUAAAUUUUCAGCUUAUCCUCCUGCUUAACAAGGAGCUUAUGAAUUUAUGUAACCUCCUGCGAUUAUCUCUGGAUCCACUUUUUCAAAACAUAUAUUUUAUUUUAUUUUUUGUUUUUAGAAAGAAAAAAAACAUAUAUUAUAAUUAUAAUGUUAGUUAUCUUUAGUGGUGCAUAAGUAACAAAAUUGCUAGAUAUUUAUCUUACUAAAGUAACACACGUAACUAAGAUUUCUUUUUUUGUUUUAAGAAAUUUUUUUUUUUUUUUUUUGGUUACGUAACAAAAUGAAACUGAAUAAAAAAAACAAACUUAACUUGUCUUUUUUUGGUAACAAAUUGUACAGUAAUAUCUAUAUAUAUGGUAAGUUUACAAUCAUUUUUUGAAGAAGCUAAACUACCCCUUAAUUUGGCACCAGAGAGAAUCGAACCUGAGACCCUGAGGAGGAGCACACUCACAGGUUCCAAGCCAAUACCACUAGGCCAACCCAAGUGGGUUGGUAAGUUUACAAUCAUAAUUUCUCAAGUUUAUUUAUGCAGAGUGUUUACGCAACAUACAAUUAGGUAACUUUCUAUUUUUUUUUUUUAAGGUACGAAUAUUGAUUAUACUAUAUAUAUAUAAUUAUAAUUAAUAUAUUUUAUUAUUGUUUUUUUACAUCUUGAUUAAUUUUAUCAAAAUAAAUCUUUACAUCUUGAUUAAUUUUAUCAAAAUAAAUCUUGAUAAUUGUGGUUCGAUUCUUUGAUUUUUUUUUUAAAAUUAAAAUAUUUAAUAUUUCGAUAAUUGCUUAUGUAAUGUCACAUCCAAACACUUUAAUUUAUGUAAGUACUUUUUAGUGUACAUAUCCAAACAUAAAUAGCUUAUCAAGUAUAAGAGCUUAUGAUGUAAGCUAUAAUGUUAUAAGCCCUAAUGCUAUAAGCAUCUAUAUAAGUUGUUUAUCCAAACGGGGCCUUUAACUAUGUACAUAUGCUUCAGAUGCAACAGCAGAGUGUUUUAAUGGCUGAAGUAACGAAACAACUGGAAUUGCAGAAAACACCUUUAGUGAGAGAAGAGUAUGUUGAAUCAUCACAGAACGAGUCACGUUUGGCUGGAAAGAAAGUGAAAUUACCACUGUUCGAAGGGGAUGAUCCAGUUGCGUGGAUCACACGUGCUGAGAUCUACUUCGAUGUGCAGAAUACUCCAGAUGACAUGAGGGUGAAAUUAUCCCGUUUGAGUAUGGAAGGUCCUACGAUCCAUUGGUUCAACUUACUAAUGGAAACAGAGGACGAUCUAUCCAGGGAGAAAUUGAAGAAGGCGUUGAUCGCUCGUUACGACGGUCGAAGACUGGAGAAUCCAUUCGAAGAAUUAUCAACACUUCGUCAAAUUGGAAGCGUUGAAGAGUUUGUCGAAGCUUUCGAGUUGCUAUCGUCGCAGGUUGGAAGGUUACCGGAGGAGCAAUAUUUGGGUUACUUCAUGAGUGGAUUGAAAGCUCACAUCAGAAGACGAGUUCGUACGCUGAAUCCUACGACGCGGAUGCAGAUGAUGAGAAUCGCAAAAGAUGUGGAGGAUGAAUUGAACGAGGAAGAUGAUGAUGGAGGUCGACCUUACGGGAAGAAGCAUGGAGGUGAUCGGGUGGGCUGAAAUGAAUGAGCUGGGUUGAUGUUUAAGAAUCGGAGCAGAUCUAACCCGAGUUCAAAAGAUCCGACCCGGUUCACUAACCCUACUGGAUUUAACCCGGUUCACAAAACAGGUUCGGUGGGUUCCAGUCAAAAUUCAAACACGUCUUUGAUUUCGACUGGGAGAAAAUCUUAAAAUGACCAUCGUGUUGUAACUUCAGAACGAUGGAAGGGUGUUAGGAGCAUACAGAACGGCGAAAUGGCGGAGAGAAGGGCAAAGGGUUUGUGCUUCAAGUGUGGAGGAAAAUACCAUCCAACACUUCAUAAGUGCCCUGAGAAAUCGUUGAGGGUGCUGAUUCUAGGUGAAGGGGAAGGUGUUAAUGAAGAAGGGGAAAUUGUUUCGUUGGAAACACAAGAGGUUUUAGAAGAGGAAGAAGAAGAAAUUGAGUCUGAAUGCAAGGUGAUUGGAGUCUUGGGUAGUAUGGGGGAGUACAAUACGAUGAAGAUUGGGGGAAAAUUAGAGAACAUUGAUGUGGUGGUAUUGGUGGAUAGUGGAGCCACUCACAACUUCAUCUCUGCCAAACUAACCUCUGCUUUGGGUUUGACUAUCACUCCUAUGGCUGCUAGGAAAAUCAAAUUGGGAGAUGGACACGAAGUACUGUCACAAGGAGUUUGCAAGGGCAGGGAAGGAACAAAGGAAGGCAGUGUUUUCUUAACUCAUUCUCAGAAGGAAGACAAGAAGGGUUGGAAGAAGAGUGGUGGAUGUCUCAAUUUGAACAACUUAUCUCUGGCCAAACAUGUGGAAACACUUCAGUAAGCAUAAACAUGUGAGUCAUAGUUAGCUUAUUUAGGAAAUGAUAAAAAAAACAUGUGGAAACAUCAUUUUUGGAUGGAUUUAGUGAGAAUUAACUUUUGAAAUAAAAUAAAACUAUAAAAUUACAACAAUCCCCCACAUAUUUCAAAAGUUAAAAUGCAUCGGAACGGUAUAGCAAGCUAUGGAACCCGUCCUAGACUAAUGAGGCUUAACACACACUGAAUUGGUUUAGCAAGCUAUGGAACCCAAGACACUUGGUGUAUGCUAGAGGUCUCACAAUCACAUUACACCCUCACAAUUCUUGUUGUUACGCGGUUGUGCGCUAAUAGGCCGUGUGCGGGCCUAGUAUUCAUGACUGCUCUAGAGAUUUUGCCAAGAUCUCAUGCAAGCGGUGUAACACCCCAAAUUUUAAUAUUAAUUGUCAAUAUUAUUAAUAGAUAAUAUUAAUAUUAUUAUCGGGUAAAAUUAGUAUUAUUGUUAUUAUUAUCAUUGAGACUUGAUAUUAUUAGAUUAAAUCAUUUGUGGUUAUAGGUGUUACGAAUAAUGAGGAAAUAAGGAGGAGUUAACUAGUCAGAUGAAUAAUUCGAGAAAAACAAUUUUUAGGGAGAAAAUAGUGUGCCAUUGUUGAAAAAUAAAGUUUUGGUGGUUCUUAUUAUUUUAUGUGAAUUUAAAUUAUAAAGAGAUGAAUGAUAUAAUAACUAAUAAAGAUAUGAGGUGAGAAAUAGAAGUAAUAAAAUAAGUGGGGGAGGAGGGAGUAAAUUAUGAUAGGUGGAGGAGAGAAAAGUAAUUAUAAUAAGAAUUUAACCUAGUUUCCUAAUAUAAAUAGAUGAAUAGAAAUUCAUAAAACAUUAUUGCUGAACGUGAGAACAAGAGAGAAGUAUAGAGGAAAGGAGGCAAACCCUAAGGAGAAUUGAACCAAAAGCUGCGUUUCCAGAGAAUUCGAGGUAAGGGGAGAAUCUUUGCACUUUAGGGUAUCUUAAUUUAUGAUGGGAGGUUGUCUUAAAUUUUAAUGCACUUUUGCUGUUAUGAUGUAAAUGUUGAUGAGUGAAUGAUGAUGGACGAAUUGAAAGAUGAAAUUAAAAGAUGACAAUUGAGGGAAACUAGUUUAGGUUUUUGAAUUGAGUUUUAGUAGUGGAUAAUCAGGUAGGUUAGCGAAGAAUUAGUGUUUCAAUGAUAGGGUAGUCAUGGAGUGAAGAUUAGGGUCGAAUUUGGCGAGUUUAGGGUCGAAAACGGAGCUAGGAAAGGUCCCUUGAGGCUAAAUCGCACAUGCGAAAUCGCAGAAAAUCUGUGAUUUCUGUAACCGAAACAAACAAUAAAAACUGGCACUUUUCUGUUGAGAAUUAGAUUUCGGUGUCUUCACGAAAGUUGUAGGUAUGGAUGUUAGCUUUCUAAUGCCGUUGGUCUGACGUCAAACGGAUUUAUAGAACUUGAGUUAUGGUCAAAUUACUGCGCAUAGGUCACAUUGAAUUUUUAUGAAUUUCAGCACAAUUUUGUCCGAAUUUGAAAUGAAAACUGGUAUUGAUUGGUACAGAAUUGGUCUUAGGUGUAAACAUGAAAGUUUUAGAUAUAGAUGUUAGCUUUCAUUUGGCUUUACAGUGACCCCAAUAGAACGUCAAAAACUUGAGUUAUGAUCAAAAUACUACCCAGAGGUCAACAUGGCCGCGCACUCUGCCUAGGUUUAGGAAAACCAACCUUUGCACCACUUUCUGUAUCGAAUUUAAUUUAGGUUCCUUCAUGAAAGUUGUAGAUAUGGGUAAUAUAUUUAUUUUAGAUUUAGUUUGACCUCAUUCAGACAUUCUUAAGUUGAGUAAUGAUUAAAAUAUCGCACGUGGGUCAUGCUGCAUUUUUCAUGAAGUUUCAACACCACCGUUGUAUUGGACUCUAAACCAUCCAUGAUAGUAUUAGUGAUUUUAAUAAAUCCGUUAGCGUGUAAAGUAAAGGUGAGGGUCCUUAAGCUUUACAUCUAAAUGAAGGAGUGUGAUCAAGCAUAAAUAGAAGCGAUUACCUAAGGAUAAUAACAAGUCUAAAACAUAAACUGGUGAUAGUGAUCUAAGUGAAUUUAGUGAUGUUAAAAGAUGACUUGACAAUAGGACGUGAAAAAUAAUGAUAAUGAAAGACAAUAGGAAUGAUAAUAGCGAUGAAAAGGACGGGAACAAUUAGAGGAGAGCAAGAUGAGUAGGAAAGCGGAUAAGCGAUAAUAGUUAUAAAGUUUGACGAUAAUAAUAACAACCGGCAUCGAGAGAAUAAAAUCUUGAAUUAUAAUGAAGUCUUAGUGAGGAAAGUUUCUGAUGUCAAAAGUACUGAUAGAAUGAGAUAAUAACUUUAAAUUAGGAUUAAGUUAAGAUUAGGAGAAUAGUCGAUGUAUAGAUGACGACGAAUGUGAGAACAAGGUAAUAAGAUUAUAAAGUCGUAUUAAAUGAGAAGAAUAAUUACGAAAGAGUUAAUGACGAUGGUGGGGAAGAACCUAGUUGGAUAGAGAGGAGACAUUAUAUGUAAUGAUAACGAAUUAGAAUACAUCUUGAGACUAAGAAUGAGUAAUAGGUUAUGCUAUCAGAAGUAAAGUAUAUAGAGAGCCUAUAAUAGAUGAAGGGAUAGAGUAUGUUGGUAAGAUGAAUAAUAUAAUAAAAUAAAAUAGAGAGAUUUUGAUGUAGAAAUGACUCACGCGUAAGGGUUGGAUUAAUCAAGGGAAUAAGUGGUGAUAUAAAUAGUUGAUAGACAGUAAUGAUGAUGAAUCCUAUAAUUAUGACAAAGAGUGUCGAUGAUUAAUAUUAAAUAUAUAUAUAUAUAUAUAUAUAUAUAUAUAUAUAUAUAUAUAUAUAGGUGCCCCCUAACAUGGACCUCCAAAAAAAGGUCCACCAAUGAACCUCCUUAUAUGACCUGCUACAACAGGUCAUCAUAAUUAAAAAAAUAAAAUAAAAUAAUCAAUUUUCAUUAAAUAAAAAAGCUAUACUGAACCCACACUUUUCAUCUUUCUUCUCAGAAAAUUCCUUUCCCUCUUCUGUAGUUUCUUUUCAUCCAUUCUUCUCCUCUAUUUUUCAUCAAUUGCCAAUUAUGAAUCUUAAACUUCUCAAACAAAAAUUCUAAAUCUUCAAAACUUAAACCCCAAAUCCAUACUUUACAUGAACCUUUUUUCCAGUUUUCUUUCCACAUCACGUUGAAACUUUCUCACCAUCUCACUCCUUGGAUUCAAGUGAAACUUCUUCCUUCUUUUAAUCAAACUGCUUAUUCCUUUUUCCUUUUCAUAUCAAGAUCGUGAUUGACUUGUCUUGGUGAGGGAUAAUUUGAACUCAACAGAUCUGUGGCAGUGAGUAAGCGCAAAUCCACAAAGGGGUUUUAUCAAAAUUGGAUUUUUAUAUAUGUAAGUGUCUGCCUAUUUCAUUUGAAUGUAUAAUAUCUUCCAUUUUUGUAACUUUGUUCUGAUAAGAUGUCGUGAAAAUUUCUGAUUGCAGACUUUUAAUUUGUUGUGAUGGCUAACAGUAACGAUGAACAAAUUCUGAGUAGCAGUGAAAAUACCUCACAGGUAUCAUGCCGUUCUUUGUAAUUUUAUAUUCUAUUUUUGGCUAAUUUAUGGCAUUUAGAAUUUGUAGAGCCAUUUGUAAUAUAGUGUAUGUAUAUAUUUUGUUUGCAUCAGUUUAUGGAGUUUGGAGAUAUAGAAAGUGAUAUGAAAGUUGGAUUUGGAUUUGCUAUUGAAGGAAUGGAAGAUAUAGGGAAAAUUGAUUUUAAAAAAUUAAAUGCAAGUGAUGUGAUGAAGUUUCAUUUUCCAAAUAUUGCAGUGGCUUAUACAUUUUAUAAUUGGUAUGCUCGAAUGAAUGGUUUUUCUGCUCGUAGAAGCAAAGUAAGGAGAAACAAAAACAACGAGAUUAUACAACAAAUAUUUGUUUGCUACAGACAAGGUUUUAGAGAAAAAAAGCUUGAGAACAAUAAAAUCCGUAAGCGUGAGGCAAGAGCUGACACUAGGUGCGGAUGUGACCAAAAUGCAUACAAAACAAGGUUGAAGAACAAGUCUGUUGAGGCUUGGCGUACAAAAAGAUAUGCAUAGACCUUCAACAAGGACACUACAUUUUGAGCGGAUAGGCUUUACUUCCGCUAAACAACUCUUCAAUGUUUAAGUUCUCUAUUUUGAUGUAACAACUUUUUAAAUUAUCGUUUGUCCAAUGUUGACUUUUUUUGAGCUAAUAUUUUGUGAGUACUUAGUUACUCUACAAAGUGUCAUUUGUCCUGUGUUGACAUCUUUGUUCUAAUGUUUAGUUAGUACCCUGUUAUUCUAAGAAAUGGAAUGAACUAUCCUACUGCUGGAUAUGUAAUGUUACUACUAUCAUAUAUUAAGCUUUAAGUUUAUUGAAGUAUCUGAUUUGUGUACAAUGUUUGCAAAACUACUAAAACAAAAUACAACAAUCACUACAAAGGAGAUACCUGACACCAUUUUCUACCUUUACAUGGGAUGAAUCAUGAUCACACACUUUAGCACGCCAGUUGAGAUUCUUCUUAAAUGACCAUUUUCCAAUAACUCAUUGUUGUAAAAUGCCGUAAUCACACACAAUACAGCCAUCUGUUAUGCCAUAACAAAAAAAAAAAGUGAUACAUUUAUAGUAAAUAUCUGAUUCAAGCCAACAAAAUUUAAUGAAGCUAUAAUUGAAAAAAAAAUUGUAGCAUACAAUAAGGCUUACCAAAUAAACAACCACCAUGCUACGAAUACAAUAGAUGCAACUACUUGCAAUUCAAAGAAUUUCCUUACAAACAAACAACCUUAUGCCAUCAACAGUCACACCCGAAACAAAAAUAAAACACUAACUCUGCAAUUAUACCAAAUUCAAAGAACUAACAAGAAGUGUGAUUAACCAAACAUUGAACAAUUGAAUAUUUCAAGUCUUUGACUAGACAACUUAAAACAACACGACACGCCUAAUUCCACAAAUAAACACCUUUUUUUUUUAGAAAAAGAAAGGGACCUUACUUGAAGAAUUACAUAAUGGGAAUGUAAGAGUGAUUUACCUAUUUACUCAGAAGGAGAAAAAACAAGUAGCAUUUUAUAAAAAUACAAGUAACCAAUUUAUUCAACCAUUUCUCUUUCCAGAAGCAGACAUGCUUCACUGAGGUUGUCAGUGCCCAUGAUGAUGUUGAACUUCUUCCUCCUCCACAUGGUAUCAUCACGUCACCCUCCUAAACCCUAUUUCCCCAAUUCAAUUUAGUUUAGUUCAUCUAUUCUUCUGACACAAAUAAACACCUCAGUUAACACUAAUUUGAAGUAUUUGAAUACUAACAUAUCCAAAUGCUGACAUCAACCAGUAAACAUGAAAUUAACCUAAAAAGAAGAAAGAAUCAUAAGAAUCCAAGGAUUAGAAUGAAUAAUUUGAUAACAGCAAAACAACUAGGAAUCCACAACAGCAAAAUUGAAAUCGAUUAACAGCUAUGAAGCAAGAAAGGAAACUGCAAUCGAUUAACAGUUAUGGAUUUGGGGUUUAAGUUUUGAAGAUUUAGAAUUUUUGUUUGAGAAGUUUAAGAUUCAUAAUUGACAAUUGAUGAAAAAUAGAGGAGAAGAAUGGAUGAAAAGAAACUACAGAAGAGGGAAAGGAAUUUUCUGAGAAGAGAGAUGAAAAGUAUGGGUUCAAUAUAGCUUUGAAAAUUGAUUAUUUUUUAUUUUUUUUAAUUAUGAUGACCUGUUGUAGCAGGUCAUAUAAGGAGGUUCAUUGGUGGACCUUUUUUUUGGGGGUCCAUGUUAGGGGGCACCAUAUAUAUAUAUAUAUAAUAAAUAAACAAGAUGAGAUUGAAGUUGAUUAAUUUAUGAUGAAUAUGAGGAUGAUAAUGUUUAUAUUUUAGUGAUGAUGAUGAGGAUGACGAUAACUAUAUCAUUAUGAUGAUGAGAGUGAUAAUGCUUAUAUUCGAUGAUGAUGAUGGGAGUGAUGUAUAUAAUGAUGGUGAGAGUGAUAUAUAUAUAUAUAUAUAUAUAUAGAUAUAUAUAUAUAUAUGCAAUGAUGAAGAUAGUGAUAUAUGAUCAUGAUGAGUAUGUUAAUGAUUUGUGUGCUUGCAUUAGAGUCGUGCAUUUUAGUGAGAGUCUUGCAUUAAUAUGUGAAUUAUUUGAAUAUGUGUAUACUUGUGUUACUUGUAGAAUUUAUUUAUAUGCAUUCAUAUAGAUUCUAAGACUGAUGGAGUGCAUGACUGAUGGAGAAGUCCAGUAACAUAUCUCUGGCAAACUAUGAUGAGAAAAGUCCAUUAACAACUCUGGCAAAAUGAUGAGUAGGAGUGGUACCACAAUCAUAUAGGUCGUUAGGAGAGUACAUAUGCAUAUAUAUGAUGAUUUUGUAUUGGGUGUUUGAGUGUGAAUAUGAUGUGCUGCUGUGAUAUGUGAUCUGAAGAGAUUAUACAUAGUAACUGCUGAGAGAGAUGAGAUAGUGGAGACUAUAUUCCUUUUAUAUUUAUUUAAUGUGCAUGCUUUUCCUAAUAAUAUGUUAUGGCUGGAUUUCUCACCCCUUUCUUGUUGUUGUAUUUAUGGUGUCUGUACCCCAUCUGUACCCGUGGGGUACAGAUACUUAGGACGAAGAGAUCUAGUUGCGGGACGCCUAGCAGGAUACGACGGAAAUUGUCUUCCGUCAAUUUUAUUUUAGCAAUGAUUAGAUAUGUAGUUGAAUAUGAGCUCUGAUAUGUAACACCAUGGGUUGGGGUUAACGUUUAAAUUAAUUUGAUUUUGAGUUUGAAUCUUGAAACUAAUGUUAUUUCAAUUUAUGAUCUUGAAUGAAAAUGAUAAGAUUUAUUAAUGAGAAUAGUGAAAUAUUUCCGCUGCUCAAAUUAUUCAUUUGCAAGAAAAUUAUAUUAUUUUUGUGAUAUAAAGUUGAGUUGUGCAACAUCCUUAUUAUUAAAUAUAUUAUUAUUAUUUGAUAUUUAUCGACGAAAUUAGGGUGUUACAAGCGGCCCCACUUGACACUCAUAUAGGCGAUUUCAUCAAGUGUAUGCUGCAAGUCAUACACCACCCAUAAGGGAUAUGAUAAUCGUUGAAAGCAUUAUAUUGUAGCUUAUCCUCUCAAUAUUGCAGUGUCUAGCACUUACUCAAAUACACCAUAGGAAGGAGACAAGAUUAAAUUUAGCGCUAGCAGAACUAACAUGUGACUUGUUCUUACCACAUUGAACCUUCCUCAUGGGAUCUCCAAUCACAAAGGUUGAGUUCCUAUAACAUGUCAAUUUCGAUUGGCUUAAGUCUCAAUCCCCUCGAUGCUCACAAUUUUAUUUCAUCUCAGAGGCUUUAUUAGUACGUACUUCACACACAUUGAUGAAGACAAAAAAUUCUUUCAUCAUAGAAUAUUGACUAAGACAUCUCUCAGUCAAUUAAUCUCAUAUUUACCAAGUUAACAAUUAUGAACUUGUUCUUCAUAAUAAAAGCAUACAUGUCUGCUUAGUUGUCUACUAAGCGACAACAUAUUUAUCAAUAAGAUAAAUUUACUUAUAAAUUUAUUCUCAUUGGAUUCAUAUCUAAUUAACGUCAUUGUAUAUUAUUUGAAUACAAUGGUUUAUCCACUUUUAAACAAUAUCUCAUAUAUUGUGAAACUGACUUUUUGAUAUAUGUCAUCGGGUCUACUUAGAUAAAUUCUAAGUGACAAACCCCCCACAUUGAGAAAAUAUAACUAUGUGUGGAUUUAUUAUACAAGUCUACUUUAAUAAUUUUUGAAGUGACAACAAUUCCACGAUGAAAAAUAAAUCCGAUAAAUAUAUAUUUUCUCAUAAACACAUUUUAUUAAACAUCGUAAAUCUUAUAGCAGUCAAGCUAAUUUCUGCAGAAAAUAUUCCACAUGAGAUUAGUGUGUUGUUUCUGCCACCAAACACUAACUAUUACUAAGACACAAUUUCUAACUGUUAAAACAAAAUGUUUAGCAGAAAGAAGUCCUAGUGAAAAUGUGAUGUGUUCAUUUUAAUGAGGCUAAUGAUAUAAGCUAAUCGUAGCUUAUUAAGUAAGAAGACAAAUCCAUAUAUAAUCCAUAGAUCACUAUAUCCAGUAACAUGCAAUUCAAAACAUCAGAAGGCCACAUCAUAUUUUCAUGAGUUAAAAAACCGUCACAAUAAUAUUUAUGCAAUUAACUCAUCAAAUAAACAAUGCAAUAGCUUUCCAAUAAUAAGAAAAUCUGUACUCACAUUGAGAAUAAAGUCACCUAAGUUUUCUUUAUUCAAAUACCAUAAUCAUAAGGGUUACUCAAAAUAUAAUAUCAACCAAUCCACUUAUUAAGAGCAUUAAAUCUCAACACUGAAUGAACUCAAAAGCAGAAAACUAACUCCAACAAACUUGGCCACAAAAUUCAUUAUUCAUUCUGGUGCAACACAAUACGUAAAGGAAAUAGUUUGCAUACUCUAGUUUAACAUAUUAAUCAAAUAGUCUAAAUACAAUAAGUCCAAAAUCACAUAUACUCGAAUCAAUUCAUUUCUUUGAUCAGAUUAAACAAUAACAAAGAAAAUUCAUUUCUUAAAUUACUUGGUAUAAGAAAAACUUCAUACAUUUUUCAUAACAGGAACAAUGAUUGAAGAUAGUGGUUAGAUAAGAAAUUUUCCUUAAUCCAAAUGAUUGACAUACUUUGACCAUACUUUUCUACUAAUAUGCAUUGGUACGUGUGUCAGAGUCAACUAGAUCGUCUAUUGAGGGACAGAGAGAGUAUAUAAGAUGUAUCCGGUUCAUUUAGUUCCACAAAAAGGAACUUAGCUAAUAUCAUCAUUUCUUGAAAAAGACUUGUCAUCUCUUCCAAAUGGUUAAAUAAAAAUAAGAGCCAUUUUGAUUAAACAAAUAUUAGCAAAGUGAAAACAUAGAGGAACAACAUGGUCCAAACAUAGAGCUUUAGCCUACCAUCCUUUCUCCUAAAUUCACUUCAUCACUAAAAUAUCACCUUAUAUGAUAGGAAAAUUAUCAUACAUCAAAGUAGAAGAAAAACAAAUCAAUAUCCAUAUCACUUAUAAAAGAAAUAAAUUUAAAAAUCUCUGCAACAAUUCUACAAUUGAAAGUAUAAUAAAUUCAAAUUCAUAUACUGCUGGCACAUCAAACUAUUAUAUAAGCAUAGUGGAAUUGAAAACGCAUAUGAUUCAAAAUUAAAUGGAAAAACCUGAUUAUCAAAUCCCUUUUGUACAUAACGCCAUAUCACGGAGAACAUGGCUAGUAAUAGGAAUUGAUUCCUUUUUUUUUUCCUCUUUUCCUUUUCACAGCUUCACAGAUGAAUGGUUGUGCCAUUUUCAAACUAAGCAAUUCCUAUUUGCUUUUCUCCUUUUCUCAUCUCCAGGGAUGGCCAAUUGCACCUCGCUCUCAUCAAAUUUUCGCUUCACUCAAUACUGAAUCCUGAUUCAGAAAUUACCACAAAAAAUUAAUUUGUUAAAAUCCUCAAGAUUGUUGUAUAUUUAUUGACAUGUGAAUUAUCUCAAAAUAACAAUCAGCAUAAACAUAUAAGCAUUAGAAUCAAUAAGCAAAAAGAGAGAUCAUUAGACUUAUCUAUCUUUAAAAUUGCGGUGAUUUGAGGCUGGUAAUGAAGAGCAAACAAACAUCAAACCAUGAAUAGCAAUAACCUGCAAAAUAGUAAACUGUUAUCUAACCUGAGGCGUGACAUAGUUCCCUAAUAUGAAUCAUAUCAAAGGUGACAGAACAACUCGAAUAUAUACACAGGAGAUGUAACAGGAAGAAAAAUUGGGAAGAAAGAAAGAGUUUAAGCGUGCUUGAUGUAUUGUCCAUCGUAAAAAAACACUACGUUAUUAUCAUAUAUACUCCCAAGAUAUUUUGUGAGAACAUGCCCACUAAUUCCACAAAAAUAGCCACAUGAAUAAAACUAUUUUUUCAGUUGAGAAAAUUAAGGUAAGGCUUAAUUGACUAAGUAAGCAUGAUGAGUCAUAGUUAGCUUAUUUAGGAAAUGAUAAAAAAAACAUGUGGAAACAUCAUUUUUGGAUGGAUUUAGUUAGAAUUAACUUUUGAAAUAAAAUAAAACUCUAAAAUUACAACAAGUUGGGCGAUUGGAGCAUAUUUUUCCAUAAGGCUACAAAGUUGAUAAAUUCUUUGAAGUUAUUGUUGGCCAAAUAAUUGGAGGUUUUUGAAGGGUUGGAAAUCAUUUAAGGUAUGUGUGUUCUAUUGAUAACCUUGAAUAUACUUAUACAGAAGAAUGAAGAAAACGUAUAUAUCAUUUAGAAAAGUCAUUUUUGGACAUAGUUUCCUGUCAGCUAUGUUAAUCAUCUCAUUUUUUUUUUUACAUAGUUGGGUGUUUCAUUCAUGUGAUAUUGGAAAGAAAAAAAAAGACGUGCAAUUAUAUGUCAAAUGAGGUUGUUAGAUUUUUAGUCCAACAACACAUAAAAACUAGUUGUGAACUCUUUUUAAUUGAGAUUUGGAGGUAUCUGGGAACUUAAUCACAUUGUCACAAAUUCCUGUUUUGUUGCCAGAUUUAAAACUAGCAUGAGCUCCUUAUUUAUUAAGUAAUUUAGUUUAUAUUCCCAUAGUUUUUCUUUCAAAAAAAUCAUGUUAACAUGUAACUAUGGGAAUAUAAACUAAAUUACUAAAUUACUAUUUGAAAGGCCAUUUGAAAGGAGAAUAUAAGGUAACAUGAUUUAUUGUCAUAUCCAUAUAAAAAAAUUACUAUUUCUAUUUAAACAAUCAAUGAUUUAUUACUGUUUUGUUUUACCUUUUAACUAUUGAGAAAGUUAGUAUUAAUUAAAUGUAUAGUUAACUGCCGAGAGCAUUGAUUCUCUCAGACUCAGAGGGAGGUUACCUCUGUGUACAUUAGGAUAUUCAUCCUUAUGUACAUUCUUGGUUCUGUUGUCAUUGGCUUACCAAAAUUAUUUUAUUUAUAAUAUUAUUAUUUCAUAUGAAUAUAUAAUUGUACAUUUCUAUUUUUUGAACAAAAUUAAAGGACAAACAAAUUUUGAACAUUGUCAUUGAUAUAUUUAUAAUUCAACUCAAGUGGAGUUUGAUACAAAUAUCCUUUCUCAAAAUAAACAAGUCUCAAAUAUAAACAAGUCUCCAAACAUAAAGUUACACAAACCAUUUCCACAUCUUUAGCUAUUCGACAAAAUAACAAGUUUACAAAACAUAAAAAUGACUACACAAAUGAUGUCACUAAAAUGAGGACUCUCAUGCUCCACGUGCAUUGCUGUCAUCUGAUGAUCUAGUUAUGUCAUUGGGUGUUGGAGAUUCACUUCCUACGUUUGAUGCCUGCAAAAAAUAUUAUAAUUGUUAACUCAUAUUAAGCAAGAUAUUAUUGCUAAUUCAACAACCUAAGCAAAGUAAAAGUUAUUAUCAAAGUAAAAGCUUGAAAGACAGUAUUAUCCAAAAUCAAUUUUUCAUAAUUGAUGAAUAUAAAGAUUGAUGAUGAAAAACUUAGAGAAAUGCGUUUCAUUGAUAAAAAAAAAAAAUUAGCAGUAUUGAUUUCAUUAGCCCAAUAGCAUUCAGAUCCAAUUUGUAAAAUAUCAUCAAAUAAUAUCAAUGCUUCCAAAGCUUAAUGUAGCGCCGGUACUACUCCAGAAAGACACAUGCACAAAAUCAUAAAUGCAUUGAGUAGUUGUUAUACCUGUUGUGUAUCAUUGGGAAAUAAGGCAGCAGCUAACUCUGGGGGCAGUGAACCACCUUCCUUCGCUUUAACGUAGCCAACAAGUGCUGUAAUUUGAGCCUCCAUAGUUGCAAGUUUUUGGUUCACCAAGGCAGAAUUGCCGCUUGAAGUACUACCACGAAAAGAGCCAAACUCCAUACCGCUAAGUCGUGUGGUAUUAUGCUUAAAAGCAAUAGUAGGAACCACUCUCAUGCCUAUUGUAACACCACGUUUUCCCAACAUAAAAUUUUCUUAACAUAAAUCAGAGUAAACAUCACAAAACAGGAUAUCACAUUUCACAUAAUGUAAAAACAGUUAAAUAACAAUUUAACUUCCAACAAAAUAUCUCAAUCAUCGCAGCAGAGUUAAUUCAAAAAUCAUAAAUUGUCUUGGCACGUAGGCCCCAUCAUAAUAUCUCAAAUAAAUUCAGUUAAACAACAUAAAACAUCAUAAAUGAACACGUAAAGGAAAUGAAGCAUGCAUAUCAUAAAUCACAUGCCGUUACGUAUUAGAGCAACCUAGGACUCAGUGAGGCAAGACCACUCACGACAGCACAACAGCAACCUACGCUCGAUCACCUGUAAGUUACUCAUACGAAGAGCAACGUUUCCAAGCAGAAGGGGUGAGAUUUCACAAAACAAUAAUAUUAAUCAAUAUAAUUCAACAAUCAUAAUUAACAUCAUAAAUCUUCAACAUAAGCAUCUUAAAACAUCAUAGCAUCAUAACAUCAUUCAUCAUUGACUCGACUAUGCGACUAUGCAACUUAGACCUCUUAUAUGCAUGUGGUACCAAUGCAGGGCAUGAGCCUUAACAUUAUUUUAGUAUUAAUAUACUUUCAGGGCAUGAGCCCCCAUCGUUAUUUUGAGCUAAUGCUCCAUCGUGGUGAGUACAAAGCUCCAGGGCAUAAGCUCCCAACAAAUGUAUGCUAAUGCAUGGACUCAAUCUCUUAAAACAUCUUAAUCAUCAUCUCAUAUAUAUCCAAUAAUUUGGAGGUUCAACAUCAUCUUAUUCAUCUUACAAUGACUCAUGCAACUUGGUUAAGUAACAAUAGCAGCAUAGGCAGUUCACAACAACAUUAUGACAUCAUAUAGGGAUAUCAAAUAAAAGCAAGCAUCAACUCAAUCAUUCAUUCAUUAACAUCUCAAGUAAUGAAAUUAAUGAUUAAAUCACAUUAUAAUCAACUUAACAGUUCAUAACAGCUUCACAUAUUGGAGUUAACAUCUUAUAUAGAUCACAUUACUACCUAAGGGUGUAUCCCUAAUCAAUUCAAGCAACACAUAUCACGACAUUCUCACUUGCACUCAGUUCUGGAAGUGCUCGCGAGGCGAAAGCAUCUGCUCGCCAUGGCGAGUACAAGCCAGAAUCCCAACUAAAGUUGUUCUAAGCUAAACCAGGUUCAAUCUUAUUCUAAGUUAUCAUUUAAUCUUUAAUAAACAUCUUUAUGCACUCAAAAGCAUCUAAGGUUCAACUCAAAGGUCAAAAUUACAGAAUUCAACAUGCUCUCUGGUCAUGCUCGAUAUGGCGAGUAAGGUUGUUCGUUGUGGCGAGCUACGACUUGUACCUCGCGAGGCGAAGGGAAAUGGCUCGUGUGGCGAGCGAUGAACUUCAUCUCUCGCGAGGCGAGGAUCAUCGUUCGCGAGGGCAAGCGAUGAAUAUAGGCUUGGGCAGAAUGCAGUUUUUCACGAAAAUCCAACAUCUCACAUGGUUUAAAGCCUAAAUUCGAUUCCAGAAUUCAUCCUAUUCAUAAUCUAAGGUCAAAGGACAGUUUCUACAUCAAUCUAACCAAUUUUCACCGUUUAAUCAUCAAUUCUAUUAAUUUGACCUAAUUCUCGACUUCUCCAAUUCAAUCCUAUUUCUUGCUAAUUAAAACCGGAUGGAUUACAUGAUUAAUAAAAUUGCAGAGUUAGUCUCACCCUUACCUUAAUGUGAAGAAAUCGCAGCCUCUAGGUCUCUCUUGCUCUUCUCUUGGCUUUUUCCUCCUUUUUCCAAUGUUUGAUCGUACGUACAAAGUGUUUUCUAAAACUAGGUUUUCUCUUUUUAUAUCUCUUCCUAAUAUCUUAUCUUAUCUCACUUUCUCCCCUAAAACUCUCUAAAAUCUCAAAACAGCCAUUAACUAAAUAUUUUAUUUUAUUUUCAAAUCUUAUUUUAUUAAACAACAAAAUAAGUCUCAUAACCUCAUAAAAAUCUUCACAUCACAUAACUCAUCUAAAAUCAUCCAAAUCAUCUAAAUCGUCAUAAAUCAUCAUCAAUCACAUAAAUCACACAUAUAUUAUAUAAAUAUAAUAUAACUCGUCUAGACUCGAUUAAAUAAUUAAUUAAUCAAAAGUGGGCGUUACAACUCUCCCCAACUAACAAGAUUUUCGUCCUCGAAAAUUUACCUCAUGCAAACAACUCUGGAUAAGACUCUAGCAUCUUACUCUCAAGCUCCCACGUCAAGCUUUCACCAGUCGCUCCUCCCAAACGACUCUCACAAGGGGUAUUUCCUUGCCCCUCAACGUCUUCACUUUCCGAUCAUCAAUCCUCACUGGUAAAGUCUCUACCGUAAGGUUGUCUCUAACUUGCACAUCAUCACUCUGGAUCACAUGAGAUGGAUCUAGAACAUACUUCCGAAGUUGCGACACAUGGAAAACGACAUGCAAAUUCGAAAGAUGCGGUGGUAAUCCCACUCAAUACGCCACCGUCCCAACUCUUUCUGAUAUCUGAUACGGACCAAUAAAUCUCGGAGUCAACUUCUUUGACUUCAAAGCACAUCCAACACCAGUCACAGGAGUGACUCUCAAAAACACGUAGUCUUCUUCUUGAAAUUCAAGAUCUUUCCUACGCUUAUCAUGAUAACUCUUUUGUCGACUCUGCGACGCUUUCAUCUUCUCUUGAAUCAUCUUAACUUUCUCAGUAGUCUGCUGAACAAUCUCUGGUCCUAAGACCACUCUUUCUCCUGACUCAAACCAACACAACGGAGUUCUGCAUCUCCGACCAUAUAAAGCCUCAAAAGGUGCCAUUCCAAUACUAGAAUGAUAACUAUUAUUGUAUGUGAACUCAAUCAAUGAAAGAUGAAUAUCCCAAGUUCCUCCUUGCUCAAGAACACAAACUCUCAACAAAUCCUCUAGCGACUGAAUCGUCCUUUCCGACCGACCAUCUGUCUGCGGAUGAUACGCCGAACUCAAUCUCAACUUAGAACCCAAAGCCUCUUGCAAACUUUUCCAAAAUCUAGAAGUAAAUCUUGGAUCUCUAUCUGAUACAAUGCUCGAAGGAACACCAUGCAGCUUCACAAUUUCCUUAAUAUAAAUAUCUGGCAACUGGGCAACAUGAAAACUAAUAUUAAUCGGUAGAAAAUGAGCUGACUUCGUCAAUCUAUCAACAAUCACCCAAAUCACGUCAUUCCCUUUAGGAGUAUUCGGCAAACUCGUCACAAAAUCCAUGGAUAUACUAUCCCAUUUCCACUCUGGCACAUCUAAAGAUACCAUCAUACCAGCAGGUUUCUGAUGUUCAAUCUUCGACUUCUGACAAACUAAACAAGAAUACACAAACUGUGCCACAUCGCGUUUCAACCAGACCACCAGAAUAUCUUCUUUAGAUCAUGAUACAUCUUCGUAGCUCCCGGGUGAAUACUCAAGCUACUUCUAUGACUCUCUUCAAGAAUCAUUUUCUUCAUCUCUUUAUCAUCAGGAAUACAAAUUCGGGCUCGGAAUCUCAACACACCAUGGUCAUCGACCUUAAAGCCACCAUCUUCAGUCUGAUUACUAGCAACCAACAAGUAUACAAACUUGACAUCAACUUUAUGUGCCUCUUUAAUACUUUUUAGCAAUUCACUAUCAAUCUUCAGCAUUCCCAGUGUCACACUCUGAGGUGAUCACUCACAAACUAAGCUCAUAUCUCUAAACUGUUCAAGCAAUUCGAACUCUAUAACCAACAUAGUGGACAUAUGCAAUGUUGAUGAGAUAAAACCGCAAGUGCACGGUCUUACCGAAGUAGUAUAAAAGAGUAUCGUUCCGACAGGGAGUAGUUCAAUUUAAUUAACCUUUAGAGAUGAUUAGAAGAGAGAAGAGAAUUGUAAGUUGGGGUUUUUAAACGGUUAAAAAGCAAUAUAAUAAAAGAGCCUUGGGAUCGUUGGUUUCAUCUAAAUAACAAGUCCUUCUCAAACCAAAACCAUAAACUUAUAAUGUUAUGUUAGACCUAAUUUCUCAAGACAGUUUCUCUUAAGUUCCUCUAGCAACCAAGCCUAUUUCGCUGACUUGAUUACUAUUGGAUUUUGGUUCCUCUAACAACCAAGCCUAUUUCGCUGACUUGAUUGUUAUUAGUUCCCUUGAAGAUCGAAACUAUAUGCCUCAAAGAUUGCAAAGCCUAUUUCGCUGACUUUGCAAUCCUUGUCUGAAUUCACUUGUUCGAAUAUCAAAGCUCCACUUUCGUUUUAUGAAUUGAUAUUUGGAAUAAUGGACGAACAAUUAUCAAACCCUCCACUUUCGUUUCCACAGUUUGAUAAUGGUUAAUCCAUGUUAAGACGGUGAAUUCAGAUAAGAAAUUAGGGUUACAUAAGAUUAAGGUUUAGGGCUUGGUUUGAUUAGGAUUAUGUCAUUUAGACUUAUCCAACAAUCCCAAGACAAGAAGAAGUCUACUCACUCAUGUUCAUCGUAGACAUGGGGGAGAAGAGAGAAAGCAUGAAAGUAAAAGACAAUAAAAUAAAGGAAAAGAACUUUAUUUAGAAAAGCAAAUGUCACUUAUUGUAUUCCAAGUAAAGAUGAAUAUUAGUGAUGGCUAGCUACUCUAUUUAUAGUACACAAUUGACUUAAAAUCUAAGCAAGUAUAUUCCUAGAAUAUUCCUCGGUAGAUUGUGCGCCAAAAUAGAAUAGCUUGGAGUCAAAGCAAAAGCAGCCAAAAGGCAUCUGGAGGGUGGCACGGCCGUGCCAAGGCUAGCACGGGCCGUGCCAGGCUUCUGACUUGUGGGAGAUAUAUUUUGUUUCCCAAUCUUCAUGUUUUUGUGUCCAAUCUGCUCCAAAUCCCUUUCUUUUGCUCCAAGACUCUCUCCAUCCAAUAUUCUUCCCUGAAAUAUAAUAAAUUGCAUUUUAAAGUAAACUAUCCUAAAAAGGAAAUAAUACUAAUAUAAAAUUAUAUAAAAUCUAAUUAAAACUAAACUAAAAAGCAUAUUAAAAUAACAUAUAAUUGACUCAUCAAACUCCCCCAUACUUGAAUCUUUGCUUGUCCUCAAGCAAAAGGCAUAAACAUAGUAGCAUCAACAGUUAAAUCAAAUGACAAUUAAUUAAAGCACAUGUCUCCUCAAGGGCUUAAAUCCCAAAAUGUACACUAAUCACAAACUCAAGCAUUUCUUGAAAUCUUUAUUCUACCCAACAAUCAAGUUUCAAGUGAGUGUGUGUGUGAAGUCCAACCCUUUUCUUGCUCCUGUAUAAGAUAGGUAUAAUGAGGAAACAUGGUUUAAUCCUAGCACUAAACUAACCAAGAAAAAUUCCUUCUACAAUUCGCAUAAGAGAGAUGGGAGUUUUUGAGAAUCUUUGUUCUUUUGCCAUAUGCACAUUUUAAGUUCUUUAUUUAAGGAACAACAUUUUCACGUAGGAGGUCGGAGGGCCUACCCCCUUCCCCAAUCUAGAUUCAAUGAUAUUCCUUAAAACAUCGUCUUCACGUAGGAAGUCGGAGGGCCUACCUCCUUCCCCAAUCUAGAUUCAGUGAUGAGAUCUUGGAAUUAUUUGGCUUUUUGGCUUUUUAUGAUCUCCCUUAUACUCACUUAUACUACUGGCGCUUUGAGAAUUUUUAAAGGUUAAUGCACCACUAAGAUUAGAAUGUGUUUCCUUAAAAUACCUAUUCAUACAUUCACUCAAGGGAAGCAACUUUGUGUUUUUCUCAUUGGAGAAUUUUAUUCACUUUAAAACAAGAUGUGGUUAUAUUAAGAAGACUUAAAACACAAGAGUUUGCUUUCAUGUACAAGAAUAAACAAAAUAAGAGGAGACAAUGAAGAUUUUUUUUGUCAUGAUUUUUUUUUAAUAAAAAUUAGCUACUUAACUAUGCCUUUUACAAUAAAACAAAACAAAAGAAUAAAGUUCAAGGGAGUUUGGAAACACUACGACUAUGACACUUUAUUAGGCUCCCCCCACACUUAGGAGAAGCAUUGUCCUCAAUGAUUCAAGAUAAAAGAAAAAUAAAAGAGAAGGAGAGGUAGAAGAGUGAGAUAGAGAUGAAAGAGAUAAGGUGAAAAAGAGGAAGGGGAAAGCUCACAUUUUUAUAUAGGUCCAUAGGGAGGGCCCUGAAGGUGUAAGUGUUGCAUCAUGUUCCAAAGCAUUUGGUUAUUUUCUUCGGAUAUGCGGUUGCCCCGUAGGACAUCAUUUCUUAGCCCAGAUAAUUCAACACCUUGCCUUUGUUGCUCGGUGCUUAUCCUUUGUACCUCGGUUUGCAUCCAUGCCCAUCUUUCAUUGUUGUCGUUAUGGUCAUGGGGCUCUUCUUCAUGGUGCAUGUGGGCACCCUCUUCGUCACCUUGAUUAUGUUCUUCAUGUACCUGUAAUCCAUCACCAACAUACAAGAAAUUUUCCUCCACCUCGGGGUUAGUCCGAGAUGGGUUAGGAAGUAAAAAUAAAAGUGGUAUGCGAAGUUGAAGUGCAUAAGUCAUGGGUGGGUGAAUCUUAAUAAAGUUCAUAGCAACAAGGGUUUCAAUGUUAAGUCUAUUGUUGCCCUCAAUUGGAUUUAUCCCAUCUUCCUCACUUACUCCAAACUUUCUAGCGAUGAAGGUAAUGAUACCACCGACUACUAUCUCGGCUCUAUUGUCAGGUCUAGCUCCUAUGGAGGAAAGGUAGUCAAGUAGGUAGAAACAAGUAUUAACGGGAUUGUCAUUAAGCAUUGCCCAAAGCAUAAAAAGUUCAUCCUUCCUAGUUGUUCCUACUUCUUUUCCACCCCAAAUGGUACAAGCCAUAAAUCUCUGGAGGUAUCUAAGCACGGGGUUGUGAAUGUUACUAGCCUUGUUGGUGCGGGGGUUAUAUUGCCUUAGCCUGGUAAUGCGUUUCCAAAAGAGAGCGGGGUUAUAGUGUUCCGACUUUAAAUUUGGAUUCCAAGAGUCAUGGAUGAACCCUGCAUUUGCAAAGUCCAUCUCUAAGCAGAAAUUUUCAAGAGACAUCUCAUAAUCCAUAUUCAAAAGUCGGAAGGAGACUCUAUGAUCGGGGUUGUCAAAAUUCACCUUAUCCUUCAUAAAUUCAAUAAAACUUAAGAAUUCAUAAGUGAAAUUUUCGAAGCCCUUCAUAGGUCUAAGCAUAUCAACCCAUCCUAAUUUACCUAGUAAGCUGAACACACUAUCCCUUAGUCCUAGCACACUCAAAGUAUAAGGAUCUAAAUAUCGACAAGGAUGCAAAGGUUUAGAGAUAAGAAUUUUAUACCUGUCCCUUUGCUUGGUGUCCUUGAAGAUUAUGCCGUGAUUCUUGGCUCGAGUCUUCUUCUUUUGUUAUGGUCCUCCGGAAGAGCUUGCUCCACCUUUCCUAGAUGCCAUUUAUCCGGAACCUUGGUUGACCGUUUGUGUUUUGGGUGAGGGUUGGUUUUUGGGAAAUGUUUUUAGUAGAAAAGGUUGGUUGGGUGAUGGGGGUUGUGGUUUGAGUAAGUGUUAGGAGUUGGAUUGGGUGAAUUGAUGAAGAAUUUGUGGGUUUUUAGGUAGGUUUAUGGGGGCUACGAAUUUGGUGAUAUUUGGGAGGGAUGGAGGAAAGGUGUUUUUGAUUGAUGGGUUAUGAUUGAAAUGGGUUUGUGAUUGAUUGGGUGAAGAAAUUAUGUGAAAUGGUGAAGUUUUGGGGUAGAUAUGGAAGCUUUGAAUAUCUAUGGUUAUGGAGGUUUUUGAGAGAAGUGUAAAUGGAGAGAGAGUUUGUGGUGGAGAAUGAGGGAAGAAGAAGAGGAAAAGGUGGGUUUAUCCUUACCUGUAGUCGGGCACGGCCGUGCCAACCUUAGCACGGGCCGUGCCAACUUUCUGGUUUUUUGGCUGGUUUUGGAUAGGCGUGGUCUGGCACGGGCGUGCCAGUGUGAGCACGGGCCGUGCCAAGGUUCUGGACAGUGGCCUCAAAAUUUUUUCUCGUUUUGCUUGAAUCACCUUCGGACAAUUACCUACAAAAUAACUUAAAAACAAAAACGAAAGCAGUUAAAUGCGUGGGUUGCCUCCCACGAAGCGCUUCUUUAUAGUCAUUAGCUUGACGUUAAAAGAAAGUGUCCUUAGAAUGGAUCAAAGAGGUCAUGUUGUGUAGAUGGCGCUAAUAAGCGUUCUUUCACUUUAUGACCUUUAAUCAUAUUACAAGAGUAGAGGGCGGGACCUUUCAUAUAAUUCUCCAACUCAAAUCCUAUCAACUCAUCACUCACUUGAAAAACAAUCCUACCGUUUUGAACAGGUUGGGUACACGAUAAAUUGAGUAGUGCAGGCUUGAUUUCGAAGUUAUUACCCGCAACCGUUGGGUACACGAUAAUAGCUUGUGGCUCUUCCGUUGAAGGAGUAGCAUACUCUUUGAGAGUACGUUCAUCCAUAGCGGUAUUAUUUUGUGCCUCUCUCUUUUUCUUAUGCAAAAACCUUUCGAUCUCAGGAAUAAAUUCUCCGAGACUUUUACUUCUUCGCAUAAGAAACCGAGAACCCAAGAAGUUAGUGGUAAAAACAAAAGAAAGAAAAAUAGAAGAGAAGAGGAAGAGAAAAGAGAAGAGAGUUCUAAUCACUAAGGAAGAGUUAAUUAAAUUAGUUUACUCCCCGGCAGCGGCGCCAAAAACUUGAUGAGAUAAAACCGCAAGUGCACGGUCUUACCGAAGUAGUAUAAAAGAGUAUCGUUCCGACAGGGAGUAGUUUAAUUUAGUUAACCUUUAGAGAUGAUUAGAAGAGAGAAGAAUUUNNNNNNNNNNNNNNNNNNNNNNNNNNNNNNNNNNNNNNNNNNNNNNNNNNNNNNNNNNNNNNNNNNNNNNNNNNNNNNNNNNNNNNNNNNNNNNNNNNNNACCAGCAUUGCUGACUUGAUUACUAUUAGAUUUGGUUCCUCUAACACCAAGCCAUUUCGCUGACUUGAUUGUUAUUAGUUCCUUGAAGAUCCAAACUAUAUGUCUCAAAGAUUGCAAAGCCUUUUUCGCUGACUUUGCAAUCCUUGUCUGAAUUCACUUGUUCGAAUAUCAAAGCUCCACUUUCGUUUUAUGAAUUGAUAUUUGGAAUAAUGGAUAAACAAUUAUCAAACCCUCCACUUUCGUUUCCACAGUUUGAUAAUGGUUGAUCCAUGUUAAGACGGUGAAUUCAGAUAAGAAAUUAGGGUUACAUAAGAUUAAGGCUUAGAGCUUGGCUUGAUUAGGAUUAUGUCAUUUAGACUUAUCCAACAAUCCCAAGACAAGAGAAGUCUACUCACUAAUGUUCAUCGUAGACAAGGGGAAGAAGAGAGAAAGCAUAAAAGUAAAUAACAAUAAAGUAAAAUGAACUUUUAUUAGAAAGACAAUUGUCACAUAUUGUAUUCCAAGAAAAGAUGAAUAUUUGUGAUGGCUAGCUACUCUAUUUAUAGUACACAAUUGACUUAAAAUCUAAGCAAGUAUAUUCCAAGAAUAUUCCUCGGUAGAUUGUGCGCCAAAAUAGAAUAGCUUAGAGCCCAAGCAAAAGCAGCAAAAGGUCUUCUGGAGGGUGGCACGGCCGUGCCAAGGCUAGCACGGGCCGUGCCAGGCUUCUGACUUGUGGGAGACAUAUUUUGUUUCCCAAUCUUCAUAUUUUCGUGUCCAAUUUACUCCAAAUCCCUUUCUUUUGCUCCAAGACUCAAUCCAUCCAAUAUUCUUCCCUGAAAUAUAAUAAAUUGCAAUUUAAAGUAAACUAUCCUAAAAAGGAAAUAAUACUAAUAUAAAAUUAUAUAAAAUCUAAAUAAAACUAAACUAAAAAGCAUAUUAAAAUAGCAUAUAAAUGACUCAUCAAAAGGUAUUUGCUUGGACUGGUACGCAGACUACUAAUGAGGACCGUCUUAUCAGAGGUGCUUGUUUCUUUAAUAGUACUCCUUUAAUUGCUAUCAUAGACACUGGUGCUACUCAUUGUUUCAUUGCUUUAGAAAGUGCAUAUAAGUUGGGUUUGAUUGUAUCUGAUAUUAAAGGAGAAAUGGUUGUUGAAACUCCAGCUAAGGGUUCAGUAACUACUUCUCUUGUUUGCUUGAGGUGUCCAAUAUCUAUGUUUGGUAGAGAUUUUGAGGUAGACUUAGUUUGUUUGCCGUUGACGGGAAUGGAUGUUAUUUUUGGGAUGAAUUGGUUAGAGUAUAACCGAGUUCAUAUCAACUGUUUUAGUAAGACGGUACAUUUUUCUUCUGCUGAAGAAGAGGGUGAAGUUGAGUUCUUGAAUACAAAGCAAAUGAAGCAGUUAGAACGUGAUGGAAUUUUGAUGUAUUCUCGCAUAUCUGUCGUUAGAAAACCAAGCUGUGAUUGACAAGUUACCAGUGGUGAAUGAGUUUCCGGAGGUGUUUCCUGAUGAGAGUCCUGAUGUGCCACCAGAGAGGGAGGUGGAGUUUUCGAUUGACCUUGUUCCAGGAAUAAAGCUGGUGUCGAUGGCACCGUACCGUAUGUCAGCUUCUGAGUUAGCUGAAUUGAAGAAACAGUUGAAGACUUGCUUGAUAAGAAGUUUGUUCGACCCAGUGUUUCACCGUGGGGAGUGCCUGUGUUGUUGGUGAAGAAAAAGGACAGUAGCAUGAGGUUGUGCAUUGACUAUCGUCAAUUGAACAAAGUUACAAUUAAGAAUAGGCAUCCACUUCCGAGGAUUGAUGACUUGAUGGACCACCUAGUGGGUGCAAAGGUUUUUAGUAAGAUUGAUUUGAGGUCAGGUUACCAUCAAAUUAAGGUGAAUGAUGAAGAUAUGCAGAAGACGGCCUUUAGGACACGAUACGGUCAUUACGAAUACAAAGUGAUGCCUUUCGGUGUUACUAACGCGCCCGGUGUGUUCAUGGAGUAUAUGAAUCGAAUUUUUCAUGCCUUUCUGGAUAAAUUCCUGGUGGUAUUUAUUGAUGAUAUUCUGAUUUAUUCUAAGACUUAAGAAGAGCAUGCAGAACAUCUGAGAAUUGUGUUGCAAGUAUUGAAAGAAAAGAAGUUGUAUGCCAAAUUGUCAAAAUGUGAGUUUUGGCUAAGUGAAGUAAGUUUCCUUGGUCAUAUUAUUUCUGGUGAUGGUAUAUCAGUUGAUCCAUCAAAAGUUGAUGCAGUAUCGCAAUGGGAUACUCCGAAGUCGGUGACUGAAAUCAGAAGCUUCUUGGGUUUGGCUGGUUAUUACCGCAGAUUUAUAGAGGGAUUUUCAAAGUUAGCAUUGCCGUUGACUCAGUUAACCUGUAAGGGUAAGUCCUUUGUGUGGAAUGCUCAGUGUGAUAGUAGUUUCAAUGAAUUAAAGAGAAGAUUGACAACUGCUCCUAUUUUGAUCUUGCCUAAGUCGGAAGAGCCAUUCGUUGUUUACUGUGAUGCGUCUAAGCUGGGUUUAGGAGGUGUUUUGAUGCAAGAUGGUAAGGUGGUAGCGUAUGCUUCUAGGCAGCUGAGGGUACAUAAAAAGAAUUAUCCCACUCACGAUUUGGAGUUAGCUGCGGUGGUUUUUGUUUUGAAAAUUUGGAGGCACUACUUGUAUGGUUCCAGAUUUGAAGUGUUCAGUGAUCACAAGAGCUUGAAAUAUUUAUUUGAUCAGAAGGAAUUGAAUAUGAGGCAGAGGAGAUGGCUUGAGUUGUUAAAAGAUUAUGAUUUUGGUUUGAAUUACCAUCCUAGCAAAGCUAACGUAGUUGCUGAUGCAUUGAGCAGGAAGACACUGCAUAUGUCUGCUAUGAUGAUAAAAGAAUUUGAUUUGCUGGAACAGUUUAGAGACAUGAGUUUGGUAUGUGAGUUGUCGCCUCAAAGCAUACAGUUGGGCAUGCUAAAGAUUAACAGUGAUUUUCUGAGUAGUAUCCGAGAAGCACAACAGGUGGAUGUCAAGUUGGUUGAUUUGAUUGUUACUGGUAAUGGCACUGAAGAUAGUGACUUCAAGGUUGAUGAUCAGGGUGUGUUGAGAUUCAGAGGUAGAAUUUGUAUUCCUGACAAUGAAGAAUUGAAAAAGUUAAUUUUAGAGGAAAGUCACAAGAGUAGCUUGAGUAUUCAUCCGGGAGCUACGAAGAUGUACCAUGAUUUGAAAAAGCUGUUUUGGUGGUACGGGUUGAAUUGAGAUGUCGCUCAUUUUGUGUAUGCAUGCUUGACUUGCCAGAAGUCUAAGGUUGAGCAUCAAAAGCCUGCAGGAUUGUUGACGCCGUUGGAUGUACCAGAGUGGAAAUGGGAUAGCAUUUCUAUGGAUUUCGUGACAAGCUUACCAAACACUCCGAGAGGACAUGAUUCUAUUUGGGUUGUGGUUGAUAGAUUGUCAAAGUCGGCACAUUUUAUUCCUAUCAACAUCAGUUAUCCAGUAGCUCAGUUGGCUGAGAUUUAUAUUCAUAAUGUUGUGAAGCUACAUGGAGUUCCUUCAAGUAUUGUGUCGGAUAGGGAUCCGAUGUUCACCUCUAGGUUCUGGAAGAGUUUGCAGGACGCUUUGGGUUCGAAGUUGAGAUUGAGUUCGGCUUAUCAUUCUCAGACAGAUGGUCAGUCGGAGAGGAUGAUCCAAUCAUUGGAGGAUCUGUUGAGAGUGUGUGUGCUUGAACAAGGUGGAGCUUGGGAUAAUCACCUACCAUUGAUAGAGUUCACCUACAACAACAGUUACCAUUCGAGUAUAGGUAUCGCACCGUUCGAAGCUUUGUAUGGUCGAAGGUGCAGGACUCCGUUGUGCUGGUUUGAGUCCGGAGAGAGUGUUAUGGUUGGGGACCGGAUUUGGUUCAUGAGACUACAGAAAAGGUCAAGAUGAUCAGAGAGAAGAUGAAAGCGUCGCAGAGUCGACAGAGUUACCAUGACAAGCGGAGAAAGGCCCUUGAGUUUCGGGAUGGUGAUCAUGUAUUUUUAAGAGUUACUCCGAUGACGGGUGUAGGACGUGCUUUGAAAUCGAGGAAGUUGACUCCGAAGUUCAUUGGUCCGUAUCAGAUUUCAGAGAGGAUUGGGACGGUGGCAUAUAGAGUUGGCUUGCCACCACAUCUAUCGAACUUGCAUGAUGUGUUUCACGUGUCACAGCUUCGGAAAUAUGUAGCAGAUCCUUCGCAUGUUAUUCCGAGAGAUGGUGUGCAGGUUAGGGACAAUCUCACUGUUGAAACUUUACCGGUGAGGAUUGAUGAUCGGAAAGUGAAGGCAUUGAGGGGCAAGGAAAUACCCCUUGUGAGAGUCGUUUGGGGCGGAGCGACUGGUGAAAGCUUGACUUGGGAGCUGGAAAGUAAGAUGCGGGAUUCAUAUCCUGAGUUGUUUGUUUGAGGUAAGAUUUCGAGGACGAAAUUCUGUGAUUUGGGGAGAGUUGUAACGCUCUAAUCGUUAUUUAAUUAUUUUUGAUUAUGUGGAGUCAUAUAUAUGAUUUUUGGUGAUUUAUUUGGUGUGUUUAUUUCAUUAUAUAGUUUAUUUCAAUAAUAAUUAGAAUAAGUGAUAAUUAGUAUUAUUUUGGAAUGUGGGGAGUUAAGUAUUAUUUAAUAGAAUUAAGGGGGAGUAAUUAAAAUUAAGGGAGUUACAUUUUGGGAGUUAAGAAACGAAAAACCAGAGAAACGUUUUUACGUCAAACAGACAAGUUUUGGGAGAAAAGCCAAGAGCAGGGGAGAGGAGCUUAGGAACCGAUUUCUGCUGUGUUAUUUCUGCAAUUCUAAGGUAAGGGUGAGGUUUAC
rnacentral:lncRNA from 1 species